rnacentral:lncRNA from 1 species
UAACAUUAUGAGUAGCUAAUUGUGUAUGCAUGACCUUUAUCAUCUAAAUGAUAUCUUCAUUGAUCCUUCCAGCUGGGCUGAAUUGUGCUGCUAUUGUUGCUGAGUUGGCUUGGAAGGGAAUCCAUGUGGUCCUUGGUUGUGGUUUGUUGUAGAAGUUUUCACAUUCCCCUUGACUAUCACAAAUACCACACCAAGCACAAGUGUAAACAGAUGCAGCAGGGGGAUUAGCAACCUUCAAAUUGUCAAUCCACUUCUCCAAUGCCAUAUUUUGAGCUCUCAAGGCAAUAUUAUCUACAUUGUCAGGAGAAACUACAUGUGCUGGCUAAACUGUAUUCCUUGCCCAAUUCCUAGACUUUGUAGCACAUGAAUCAAAGUGUCUUCAAGAUGCUUAUGGAGCAAGAAAAAUGACAUCUCCAUUUGCUAGUUGAUGUACUAGCAUUGUUGUAGCUCAAUCUAAUUAACAUGUCUACCAGCUGACUAUCUGUAUAACCAUGGUAAGGGCAGUCUGAUCAAAGCUCUUGAAAUCUGUUUCACGGAUCAUAUAAGCUUUCUUCUUCUCUCUGAUGAAUUCGAGAAAUUGAUUCUCGAAUAGCUACUGUCUUCGUUGGUGGAUAGUACUCCUCUACAAAAGCUUGACCUAGAGUAUCCCAGUCUCUAAAUGUGCCUCUAGGUUGACUAGUUAACUAUCUUCUUGCCGCUUCUCGAAGAGACCACUCGAAUAGCUUGAGCUUCAUUGCUUCUUCCGAAAAACCUCGAAGCUUAACAGUCUCACAAUAAGCAUAAAAAUCCACUAGAUGAGCAAAUGGAUUUUCAUUUGUCUUGCCUUCAAACUUCAAGUUUCCCUGGAUUAAGGAGAUGAGAUUCCCCUUAAUCUCAAAAUUCCCCUUAAUAUCAUCUUGCUCAGUAGGAAACACACUAGAUAUGGAGUACGUAGCACUAGGCUUUGUGUAAUCUGCAAGAGUUCUUUCUGCCGCUAUUAUGUCAGUAAUCUUGGAAGUGUAACUGUGAUCUGUGUCAGGACAAAAAUCUAAAUCUGAAGAGUCUUCAAGCCUAAAUUCAUUGUCACUUCAAAAUAAAGCUUUUAGAGAGUCGGCAAUCUCUCCUUCUUCCGUUGAUGAGCGUGAGUCUUAAUGAGAACUUUGACCUGAUUUUGAUUGUGUCACUGUCGGUGACAUGUAAUGUACGCACACCUCCGCAAGGAAAAAUAAAAACACCUGUGAAAAGUAACUGUGAAAACAAAAAUUUAAAGCGGGAGUGAAUUACUAAUACUAAUCGAACUACUUUUAGAUACUAUAAAGAAGUCCCCUGCAACGGCACCAAUUUGAUGAACGUUUUUAGGCGUUAUCAAAAUAAACCAGUUAAUGAAUUAAUCGAGUCGAAUUUCCCUAGGGUCUAUUUUAGUAUCCUUCUCAAAGUUUUAAUUAAUAUCAAUCAAAGUAACUAUUGUGGUUUAGGUGCCACAAGGAUCAAUCAAAUAGUCAAAAAGAAAAUGAAAUUGCUUUAAAGUAACUAGGUUGCAAGACUGCAUGAUAAGAGUUUAGACAACCAAAGAUAAAACUGCAUAGAUGUUGAAUCCCCCCUAGGAAAUUCUAAUUCACAAAUGAUAGACAAAUGCCACAAUUUAAAUGAAACAUGAUAGAUGCAUUACACUGCCACAAUUCUUCUCUAAUCAAAUCAUGCCCUUUCAGGUCUGCUAAUUUACUACCUAUCUAGUAUUCUAGUCCGCUCUUUCAAGACAAACGUCUAAAAUCCGCUAGGCAAUUUACCGAUUUAGAAUUGCUCACACCACAGACUAGUUCAUUCGCUCCCGGAUGAGGGUUAAAGUCUAACCUAGUUAUUUGAUUUCGACAUUCUUGAUAUGCAAGCUCUUUUCAGUCUAAGAAAAACCUAACAUAGAUUCAUUCAAGUUGAUCAGGCAAGAACAAAUCGAAAACGAAAUCAAAUAUGCAAUGAAAUCCAUCCAACUUGCAUAAAUCGUCAAACGUAUCAAAUCAUUCAUUCAUAGGAAUUAAACUAGGGUUCACCUAAUCUAAACAUGAGGAGUUUAGCUACCCAUAAUCUCAAAGAACAAAUCAGAUUCAAAGAAGGAAGACAUUGGAACUAGGUUUACAAUAAGAAAUCCAAAAACCUAAUUUUGCCGAUUCCCGUCGAAGAACAUGAUUCGCGAAUCUUGAUUAUGUAUUCCGAUCCGAGCUCUUUCAAGUCAAUGCCGUCUUCUUGAUCCAAAGUCUCUGAACUACCCUAUGAAUUUCGUCCAAAAAGGUCUAUCAAUUAUGAGGGAGAGUUGGGCUUUUAUAUUGAGGAUUCCUUGAGCCAGUCGGAUACCAAAAGUGCCAUGUACACUGACCAAAAGUGUGUCACACACAUUUCAUCUAUUUACGGGGAACGUUUGGUCUAUUUUACAGAGACAUCUGAACUCAAAUUUUGUAUAAAAUUGAACUAUCUUUCCAACGCCGCCGGCCUUCCGAGCUAGACCAUUGCUUGUCCUAGACCAUCCACACACCGUAUCUCUCCGAUUAAUGCCUCGAUGUCGUCAUGUACCUGAAAUCUAUCAAACCACUCUAAAACAACUCAAAUCGACCCUGAACGGGUCCGAGACACUAAAUCGAGAUAGAUGUUAGAAAUGCCCGAAACAUCCUAAACUUCUACCCAAAACUAUACGAAUGUGCAUGAAAUGUCGCUUAAAUGAGGACGAUGAACACAAAAAAUUGAGUGUCAUCAAAUACCCCCACACUUAGCUUUGCUUGUCCUCAAGCAAAAAGCUAAUAAAAGCUACGGAACACAUCUACAAUCAAAUCAACUACCGACAUAGCAAAGAAAAUCCAUAAUCCUCAAUGCAUCCCGAAAUUGCAUAACAAACAAGUGAACCGUAAAAUGAAACAGAAAUAGGAUGUAACCCAGUGACGAUGAACGCCCCCGAGGCGUAGCAUUUCGACUUCAUCUCAUUCUCCGAAAUGUUAAGCAUGGAUGGAACCAACGUUGCAUACUUCUUCUUUCGCUCUGAACUAAGUUGGGUUCCCGUGAUAGGACUCCUUAAUGAGUACAUUACAUCGUGCUACGUAACUGUCAUCUCUUCGAACGACAUGUGAAAGGUGUUGGUGUUUAACUGCUACCCCUCAACAAACGCCAACAGUAGGGGCACAUCCAAUCCCGAUGACAUAAGAGAACCGAGGUGCGACGACCCAGUAGCCUCGACUAACUCCCUAGCUACAUUGCUAGUUCACAGGCACUUUGCCAGCUUAUUAACCCUAUACUUUGCGGUGCGGGUCCUGAACUGCGAGGACAAUUUUGAGUCCAUACCGCACGUCCAGAGGUUGUGAGCUACGUGACAACCAAAACUAGGGAUCAGAGUAGGGAUUUGUGGGCCACCAAGUACUGAACCAGUAAGCAUCCACUCCUCGCUAGUGCUCAAUUGGACCCUUAUAGAACGCCCAGCUCUGCCAUGUCUAGGGCCCGCAGUGGAAGAACCCUGAGAUGAACUACUACUCGCUGCUAAUGGACAGCCCCUACCCCUCCCCACUGAUUUCUUCUGCAGUCGACUACUGUCAAGUAACAGGGGGUGAAAAGGGGCAUCAUGAUCGUCGUCCUUAGACUCGUCCCCGUCCGACGGAAUCUUGUGAUCGGCGCCGUUUUAGUCAUCUCGAUUGUCAUCGAUGUCAUCGGCCAACAAAAGUGUCAUCAACCAUCAACACUGUCCCAGUAGAAUGCCGAUGGGGGGUCUAUAUAUAUCCGUCCGGAAAUCUGAAACUGCGCACUCGACUGACCAUCUCCCCCUAACCUUGAUUUCUUUCACAUCCCAAUUCCCGGGUUUUCUCUUCGAUUUGAGGCAGAAAUUGGAUGGUUAUUCAACCGCGGCAACGAAUGCUAACCUCGCUUCUAACUAUAUAUGAAAUUUAAAUCGUAACUAGUAAUUAGAAACAAACACAUGUUUCAGCAUUUUGAAAAAUUUCCCAUGCGUUUGGUUCAGAAAGAGCUACAAUACGACAACUAGAAAAGCCUAAUCUACAUUCUUUGUCAGUGUCUCCCAGCAGCAGGCCUAGAAGGUAUGAGUGUCAUGAGAUAUGUGAUCAAGGACCAGAGGCUAGCCACAGCAAGUAUCUGGAACAUCACCACCAAUGAAACCAAACCGUUCCCUCUUCCUAUCAACUGCGGAGACUCUGGUAGCCCUCUCAUCGUGAACAGUAGCUUCUCCACGAAAUAAGCACCCUUUGUCAAUUGAUAUAGUCUGUACACCUGUUGUCCACAACGCAUCACAUUCCAAAGUACUUACUACUUCAAUUAAUUAAGAGCAUGCAUGAAAAACUAGUACGUACCUCGAAUAUGAUGGGGACUAAAGGAAGACAAGGCGAGCCAGGCAUACUAAGCUGGAGUUCAAACACUGCCUGGGCAAUGCAGCCAGCUAUGUAUGGAAUAACAGCAACUGCUGCUGCCACACCAACCAUUGACCAAGUUGCCAGUGCCCACACAGUCGGUAACAGAAACUUGAGCGACAUGGCACCAUAGCAUAUCGUCAAGUAUAGUUCAGGGCCGUUAAGUCUACCCCACCAUUUCGAGCUAAGUUUCAUAUAAGGCCUCUGUAUCCAGUUAGUUAUCCCUAGAAACACUGAUAAACCUAUAUAGAACACUGCCUCGAAGCACACUGAACGCACAAUCUCUGCAUAACAUGUCAGUGUUCACCCACUAGUAAGUUUAUGCCCGCAUUUGUUAAACAAGUAUCAACAUCCAGCAAGAUUUUAGGUUUAAUCCAACAAACAAAUACUUUCAGAAAUGUGGUUCCAUCAUUACCUGCAACAACUGCAUCCUUAAUAAGUCGAUUGAUUGCCUGACCAACGAAGAAUUGGGGAACAAUUAAGGACGAUAUCAACACAACUGGCCCCACGGUCCAAAGCAAAGAGUGUGCUGAUUCUGCUUUCAAAACUCUUCUCCAUUCUUCCACAUUAUCAUGACUCAAUCCACAAAACGAUACUGAACCUGAAUACCCUCCAGACGGUUCCAAAUCAUACAAGCUGCCAGUAACACGCGGCAAAGAUAUUUCCUCAUCCAAAAGCUUCAAAUUUAUGUCGGCGGCAUCACUGGAUUUGGAGCUGCUAGAAGCACGUAUUACAAAAUCUCUCUUCAGGCUAAGUAAGCCAAGUCUCUUCGAAUUAGCAAAGACGGUACAAUUGGAGAGGCUUCCUACUCCACCUCUUCUGGCCCCCAAUUGGAUGGAUGAACCCUAGAAAUGCAAGAUCAGGUGUCGAAACAGGUAGUGAUAAAAAAUUAUCAAAACACAGUGGGGAGGGGAGUUGUUGAUUUGGGUGAAAUCAGAAGCAACAUACUCACAAUUCGAUAAGGCGAGUGGGAGGGAGUUGUCAACCGGAGGAUGGAAAUGGGAACCCUUCCUCCACAAACGGAUUGCAAUUCCAUUAAUUGUUUUUCCGUGUAGAUUGCUUAAUUGACAGAGUUGCGUGAUAGAAAUGCAGGAGAAAGAGCUUGAACCUUAAACCCCUGCGUCUUGUGAUUCGCAUUAUUUGCUGACCCCUACAAGUACUAACAAGCUAAAUCUGGGCCUUGGCUCAACCAUCCAAUAACAUCACAGGGAAGGAAGUAGAAGUGGUGAGGGUUGAGGGCCCGAUCCAUGAAACCAGCUCAUAACAAAAUUAUGCACAAUUUUAAUUUCUUACCAUUUCACUUGUUUUUUUUAUAUAUUUUUUAGCAUUAGUGAAACCAAGAUUCAUGCAUGCAUUAAUUCAAAUUUGAAUAAAAAAUUUGUACAUAAAAAAAUAAUUGACAAAUACAUUUUUAAAUCUAAUAAAAAAUUAAAAUAUAUAAAAUAACAUUUGUUGUACUUUUAUGUUAGGGAAUAACAGAGACGUGACUCUCCCUAAUUCCCUCUAAUUCUGACACAAUCAAAUAUUAAGCCAACUUAUUAAGUCACAAGCUCAAAAAAAUCAUAAUUAGAUAGCCAAAUUUAAUGCUUCGGAAAAGAAACUAGGGUGAAUUACAAGUCACAAUUAACCACAACUAUCUCUAAUUCCACCAAUGUAUUUUAGGUAGCACACUUAACCUUCAACCAUAUUAAACUAACCUCAACUAUCUCUAAUUUCACCGGUGCAUUUUAGGUAGCACACUUAACCUUCUUCCAUAUUAAAAAAAUUCUCAAAAGCAUGAGGUACGUCAAAAAUAUUGAAGUUAAACAUCUUGUAUUCAACAUUAGCUAGAUAAUCGAUUCCAUAAUUUUCAUUUAUAUACAAAUAGGAAAAGUUCAAUCUUUUACUCCCUCUACAUCAUUCAUGAUUUGGGGGAUAAUAGCCACGUGUUGUUGGACUCCAUUUUCAUGAUCAUGUUCUAUUAAUUUUUUAGGGGAAACCAUCAUUAUCACAUAGAUUAUAUUGAGAGAAAAACAUUAUCUAAUUAAUCAGGAGAGGAGAGGCUACACCCGAAGUGGGUAACCAUUGAGAUCAUAAGCUUUAAAUUUUCUUGAUUGUCAUUGAGGACCUCGAGCCAAUACAAUCAGCUUAUUUAAAUGUGCUUUAUCAUCCUGAGUAUUUAGUAUCUAGUUAUACAUAUAUACAUAUGUGAGUAAAAAUUCUAAAAAUCGGUAAGUAAACCACAAAUAGUUAAGUACUUACUCGAUCUCUAAACCAAUUAACAAAAUCUCUAUGGACAGUUUUGUCCACCGUAGAUGUGUUUUUCCUAUAGGGACGCUAUUUAGUUAUAGUAUGGAAUUCUCUAAUAUUCAAUGAGAUUAAUCAAUUAAUUAUAACAAGAUAAUAUCUUUGAAAGUGUAAUGGGAAUUAGAAGCAUUGAACUUACUCUAGAAAACAACCAAUUUGGUUGCAAUUCAUUAGAACAUGUCGGUGCCCUUGAAAGAUUUUCAUAUCAGAUAGAGUAAAAUGUUGUACUCCACCAACAUGUUUUCCGAUCAAAGGCAAGCUACAUGCAUAAGAUGAUUGAUCAGCAACUACAUCAUGCACUCGUGAUUCAUGGUUGAAUUUCGUCUCAACCACAACUUUAAAAUACAACUUCAGAAAUUCAAACUUCCGCAAUAAAGCCUUCCGGUUGUGAUCUAUUCCGCACAAAUGAUUUCAGCUUGGCUAAAAAUAGACAUAUAACACCAUAAGAAAGACAGUUUUUGGCAGGGGUUUAAAGUCAGAGAUACAAGCAAAAGAAAAUGAAAAAGAAAUUGCAAUGCAUUAGUUGAAUGAACGAGCAGACAAGCUCGGAGUAGUAGUUUAAAUAAGGAAUAAACGAGCUAGUUUGAGCUCAUGUAGACAGCUAGAUCCUUGCAUACAUUUGGUUGUGUUAGUAGCUUAGGAAAAUGUUAGAGUAGAGCGAGUUGUCCACCGCUAUGUACACCCACCACCAAAUUCAUUUCACCUUCUCUUCUCUUCAUGUCCACAUUACAACCCAAGUAAAAGACCUCUUAACUAGUGUUUGAUGUGCCUUGAUGUGAUGAGUAAAAGUAGGUUGAUAUACAAGUGUUGGAAGCGCACCUCAGAGUUGAUGAUGAGCACAUAAACACUAUCCCUAGACACUUGAGUGAGUGCUUUUGGUUUCAUCUUUAAGUUGAAUCUCUUGAGAGUAACUCUAGAUGGGUGGUAUAACAUGCAUGAUGAUGUGUGGCAAGUUUGGGAACUUUGUGUGAGGCUUUUACUUCCUAUUUCGGUUUGUUUAGAGAUUUUGUUUUAUGUUAAGCAAUCCAUGGGUGGAUUGAGGAAUAUGAGUUUGCUUUGCCAUGUUAAUAGUUUGAUUCGAUUGUAGGUGUGUUCCAUGGCUUUUAUCAGCUUUUUUCUUGAAGACAAGAUUAAGUGUGGGGUUAUUUGAUAACGCUAAAUUUAUCGCAUAUAUCGCCCUCAUUUAAGUGAUAUUUCAUGCAUAAUUGUAUCGUUUUAGGUAGAAGUGUAGGAUGUUUUAUACAUUUAAGAUUUUAUCUGUAUUGAGUGUCUCGGACCCGAUCGUGGUCUACUUGAUGUCGUUUUGGAUUGUUUUUUUAUAGAUUUCAAGUACAUGACAACAUCAAAGGCAUUAAUCGGAAUGAUAUGGUAGGCAUGGAUGAUCUUAGACAACCAAUAAGAAGCAUUUUAACAUCUUCAAGGAGGGUGGAUCUCGACUUGGUUGGAAAACGUCACAGUUUCAUAUUUUCGACAUAUCUCCUAACUUAGAAGCCCGAUUGAUGCAAGGCAGACGGCGUUAGAAAGUUCGUUCAAUUCCUGAAAAUUUUGGUUCUGGACUAUACGCCUAUAAAUGUCACACUAUACGCCUAAGUUAAGGCGCAUUGAGUGAAGGCUUGGAAGCAUGGAUUCUCUAGAAGUUUGUUACACCAUGCGCCUAAAGAUGUCACAUUAUGCGCCUUAAACAUACUAGUUAAGGCGCAUAGUGUGACGGCAGACAUGAAAAAGGUGUUCUGCUCCUAUUUAAAGUCCUUUCACCCCUAAUUCAAAGACAAACCUUUUUGGACGAAAAUUAGAGAGAAGUUCAGGACUUCAGACCAACUAGAAGGCAUCAACUUCAAGGAGCUCGGGUCAGAAGACAUAAUCAAGAUUGACAGAUUGAUUUCUUUGAUGGUUCUUGGCAAAAUUAGGUCUUGUAAACCUAAUUCCAAUUUGUUCCUUUGUUGAUUUUUAUUUUUUCUUCGAAGUUAUGAGUAGUUAAAACUCCUCGUGCCUAGAUUAGAUGAACCCUGGGUAAUUCCUUAUCAACAGAUGAUUGUUUGACUUUAUCGAUUUAUGUGAGUUGGGUGGAUUUUGAUUUAUGUUUAAUUUCAUUUCCGUUCUUAUUCUUGCUUGGGGGUCUUGAAUAGAACCUUGUUAGACUUUUCUUUUCUGGAAAGAGCUUGCAUAUCUAGAACACCAAAAUUAACCAACUAGGUUAAGCAUUAAAGCCUCAUCCGGGAGUGAAUAAACUAGUUCGUCGUGUGAGCAGUUCUUUGUAUUGUCGGCUAGCGGAUUUAAGUUCUUUGUCUCAAAAGAGCAGACUGGGAUAGUAGAUAGCCAACAAGUUAGCGGACCCAAAAGGGUGUAAUUUGAUUAGAGAAGAAAUGCGAUGGUAAAUUGAAUCUAUCUUGUUUUGCUUAAAUCAUUGAAUUUGCCUGUCACUUGUGAAAUUGGAUAGCCUAGGGGGACUUGAAGUCUAACCCGUUUUCUCCCAUUUGGUUCAAAUCUAAUCGUGAAGUCUUGCAGCCUUGUGUUAUUUUCCCUAUCAUUUGCAUUAUCAUAAUAAUUGAUAGGUUUAGAGAUCAUGGAACCUACACCACAAAACCUGUUUAAUUGAUUAGAACUUUUCAUAACUUUGAGUAGACAAGAUAGUGAGACCCUAGGGAAAUUCGAGUCUAAUUAAUUCGUUAAAUACGUUUAUUUGGGGACGAGUAAAAACCGUUCAUCAAAUUGUCGCUAUUGUCAGGGACUUCUUUGUUGUGUUUGAAAGGAGUUACUUUAGUGUUAAUCAUUCAUUCAUUGUACAUUUCAUCUUUUUUUUGUAUUCUAUUUUGCUAGUUUCACCUUGAUAGUUUUUUUUGAGAGAUCAUGCAGGACUAUAAAGGAUACCACAAGAGGUUGAGUCACAACUAGCAUCAAUCAUCACAAUCUUGGGAUGAGAAUUCUUAUUUGCCUUCAAAUUACGAAAAGCCUGCAUGGAGCUAUCAACCUCCUCGAUGUUAUGAAGAGCUAUCAUCACAACAUCAGUAUAUUCAAGACACGACCGUUAAAAGCAUGUUGGAGUGUAAGGAAAUGCUUGUUGCCGAGGAAGACACGAUGACGAGCAUGGAUGCCAGAGAGGAGAUUAUUUCAAGGAUGGAGUUCUCCACUAGCAUCCUCCAUGAUAAGGAUGACGUGCUCGACAAUGAUGAGGACAUUCAGGAUAUGAUCAGUAUUACAAGAAACUUGGUGGUGAUAGAGGAAGAAGAUGAACUCAACCUGGAAAAUUUAGCCAAUAGUGUGAAAAAGCUAGAAGAUCCUCAAUGGGAUGGGAGUGAAUUCUGUUUCAAAUUACUAUAAGAUGAAGCCGAAUAUCUAUAAAAUACACCAAUUGUUACUGAAGUUAACACUAUAUGUGAUGGUGAACUUUGAAAAUGGGAAUGGGAUGGGUCUUUUUCAAGCUUUUGGGAUGACAAUGAAGAUAUGUGGGAACAAGGCAUUGAAGAAAUUCAAGCUGUCUGUGAUGUAGAGCUAGAAGAAUCUGAAGAGGAUGAUAAAGAAUAUCUCAUCGAGGCAUUGUGGUAGGAUGAAUCUCAUAUUCCAACUUCGGUAAUAGAAACUAUAAAGUGCUCCAUCUACAAUGACAUCUUAGAGAUUGUGGUUCCACCAAAAGACACAGAGACUCUUCAAAAUUCUUGUUAAGUCACGAAAUUCUUGUGUCAGGAAACUGAUCGGAAGCGUCUUAACACCUAGGUUGCAGAGGUCGUAGAAGAUGAACCAAUCACGCUCAAAUCUAAAGACCUUUCAAGUGGCAUUACUAGUUUGAAGAAGGUUGAAGUUGUUGGUGGUGAUUCACCUUUCUACCUCUUCCCUCCUUAAGUGUAUAUAUUCAAAAGGAGAUGGUCAUUAUGGGGUGACAAAAGGUUUUCGAGAACAGUUCACUGGUUAUUCUAUCAUCUACUUUAACUAUUGCUCUACACUAAACUUUUCACCAUGAAAAAACCCAUUGCAUUUAAAGAGGUGCUUAAAUGGAUUUCAUAACCAUCCAGGUAUCGUCUAGCUCAAAGAUGUUAAAGAAAGAGCGCUUCUUGGGAGGUAUCUCAAGUCUGGAGUCAGUUUUAAUUUUUCAAUCUAGAGUAAGUCUGCAUGUGUGUAGGUUUCAUCAUUCACCUUAGGAUUUUUUCUUUCUUUCUUUUUGGAUCUUAAAUCUAUUUUAUUAUGUAUGGGACUUGGACACUUGACAUAGUCCCUUUUUAUUUUUAUUUUUGGUUUUGUGUGUUUGAGUCUUUUUCAGGAGUUAGUGUCACCACCGAGUUUGACUUCAUGGAUCAUGCCUCUUGCCUCUCCGGUUUCUCACAACUUCCAGGUAUUCCCAUGCAACUUUUCUGUUUCGUUCAGUUGGACACUGUCCAAACUAAGUGUGGGGUGGGUUUGCAUAUGAUUCUCGUUAGCUAGUUUUAUUAGGUUGUUAUCUUUGAAUAUGAGUCCUAAACUCAAGCUUUUUGAAACCAUCUUUGCAUCAGUUACUUAGCAUGCUUAGAAAACUACCCUGUGAUUUGUGCACUUGAAUUGUUGAUUUACUUGUGAACCUAGAUUUGAUAGGAGUUUAAGGCUAUGAUCAAAGUCUAAUCAUUCAUUCUUUAGAGUUACUUUGAUGUGUUAUAUUAGCACAAACUCUCCAACUUGAUAUGACCGUGCAUACAUGUUAUCGAAUUACCAUAUAGAAAGACAAUGCAAGGCCUAAAACACUAUUUUGUAGUAUAGAUAAUCUGCUCCACUAGUAGAUUGGUACGUAAAUUGAUUUGAGUGGUCUCCUCUGGUGGCGGUUAAUCCGACACUUGGAUUAUACCGAACUGAAUUCAUUCGACACUAAUUUACUAGAAUGAUAGAGGCAUUCAUAAAAUUUCCACACAAAAAAAUCCACCAUGUCCCUUAAUCUUCCCCUCGGUAACCCAAACAUAGUCAAAUGGUUUGUUUCAUGUCCCCCAUAAUAUCGUAUCCUCUUUCUUUCAGUCCUUCAUUUGAUAUGUGUACAUAAGUGGCAUAUAACUCGAUCGAGUCUAGGAGUCAAUAAACUUGCUAAGUCGAGUAAUUGCAAGAUUAUCUAGCCUCCCUAAGUAGUAGUUUGUGUACAAUUUUUGGUUAUUCGGAAAAGUAGAAAAUCUCGACAAAAGGGAGAAUACAAGCAAAAAUACCCAAUCUCGGAGAUACAAGCUAAUGAAAAAGAAAAAGAAACUGUAGUACAUUAGUUGAAUGAAUGAGCAUACAAGCUUGGAGAAGUAGUUUAAAUAAGGGAUAGAAGAGAUAGUUUGAGCUCAUGUAAAAAGCUAGAUCCUUGCAUACUUUUGGUUGUGUUAGUAGCAUAGCUCCAUGUGAGAGUAGACUGAGUCAUCCAUCGCUGUCUACACCCACCACCAAAUUCAUUUCACCUUAUCUUCUCUUUUCUGUCCAUAUUACAACCCAAAUAAAAGACCUCUGACUAGUGUUUGAUGCGCCUUGAUGUGAUGAGUAAAAGAAGGUUGAUAUGCAAGUGUUGGAAGCGCACCUCAGAAUUGAUGAUGAAUGCAUCAACAAUGUCCCUAAACACUAGAGUGAGUGCUUUCAGCUCAAUAUUUAAGUCAAAUCUCUUGAGAUUAAGUCUAGAUGGGUGGUAUAACAUGCGUGAUAAUGUGUGACAAGUUUGGGAAUUUCUUGUGAGGCUUUUACUUCCUAUCUCGGUUUGUUUAGAGGUUUCGUUGUAUGUUAAGCAAUUCAGUGGUGCAUUGAGGAAUAUGAGUUUGCUUUGCCAUGUUAGUGGUUUGAUUCGCUUGUAGGUGUGUUCCGCGGCUUUUAUUAGCUUUUUGCUUGAGGACAACCAAAGCUUAAGCGUGAGGUUAUUUGAUGACGCUAGAUUUUUCACAUAUAUCGCCUUCAUUUAAGUGAUAUUUCAUACAUAAUUGUAUUAUUUUAGGUAUAUUUUGAGGACAAUUUAUGCAUUUUAAGAUUUUAUCUUCGUUUAGUGUCUCGGAUUCGGUCGGGGUCCAUUUGAUGUCGUUUUGCAGGGGUUUUGAUAUAUUUUAGGUACAUGACAACAUAAAGGCAUUAAUGCAUGGAUGAUCUAAGACAAGCAAUGAGAAGAAAUUCAACAUCUUCAAGGAGCGUGGAUCUCUACUUGGUUGGAAAAUGUCACAGUACCGUAUUUUGGACAUAUGUUAUAGCUCAGAAGUCCAAUUGAUGCAAGGUUGGCCGCGUUGGAAAGUUUCUUCAAUUUCCUGCAACUUUGGUUCUGGAAGUUUGGCACAGUAUGAACCUAAAAAUGUCACACUAUGCGCCUAUGUUAAGGCGCAUUGAGUGAAGGCUUGGGCACAUGGAUUCUCUAGAAGUUUGUCACACAAUGCGCCUAAAGAUGUCACAUUAUGUGCCUAAAACAUACUAGUUAAGGCACAUAGUGUGACAGCAGACAUGAACAAGGGUUUCUACUCCUAUUUAAAGGCCUUUCACCCCUGAUUCAAAGAAAAAAAAAUUCGGACGAAAAUUAGGGUGAAAUUCAGAGACUUCAGAGCACCGAGAAGGCAUCAACUUUAUGGAGCUCGGACGGAUUGAUUUCUUUGAUGGUUCUCGGCAAACUUAGGUUUUUAGGAUUUCUUCUUGUCAACCUAAUUCUAAUGUGUUCCUUUUUUUUAUUCUUAUUUGGUCUUCAAAGUUAUAAGUAGAUAACACUCCUCGUGCUUAGAUUAAGUGAACCCUAGGUAAUUCCGUACGAGUAGAUGAUUAUUUGACUUUGACGAUUUAUGUGAGUUGGGUUGAUUUUGAUUUAUGUUUAAUUUUGUUUAUGUUCUUAUUCUUACUUGGACGUCUUGUAUAGAACCUUGUUAGAUUUGUCUUUGUAUCGAAAGAGCUUACAUAUCUAGAACACCAAAAUUAACCAACCAGGAUAAGUAUAAAACUCUCAACCGGGAGCAAAUAAACUAGUAUGUCGUGUGAGCAGUUCUUGUUUGUUUUGUCGCCUAGCGGAUUUCAGAUAUUUUUCUUGAAAGAGCGGAUUGGGAUAGUAGAUAGGUAACCAAUUAGCGGACCCAAAAGGGCAUGAUUUGACUAGAGAAGAACUGCGACGGUAAAUUGAAUCUAUCUUGUUUUGCUUAAAUCGUUGAAUUUUUCUAUCGCUUGUGAAAUUGGAUAGCCUAGGAGGAUUCGAUGUCUUAGCCAUUUUCUCCUAUUUGCUUCAAACAUCAUAUCAUGCAGUCUUGCGGCGUUGUGUCGUUUUCCGUAUAAUUUUCAUUAUUGGAAUAAUGGAUAGUUUUAGUAGGAUUUGAACUCUAACCCUACACCACAAAACCUGUUUAAUUGAUUAGAACUUUUCAUAACUUGAAGUAGACAGGACAUUGAGACCCUAGGGAAAUUGGAGUUUAAUUCAUUCAUUAACUACGUUCAUUUUGAGAUGAGUAAAAAUCAUUCAUCACUACUAGAUCCACUGUCAUCACUAGAAGAAGAGUGUGAUGUCGUACCAGACUUGCGUGCCGAAGCUGUAGGCAUUGGCCCAUCUUGGUUACUCCCACCCUACUAUGAGUGUUGAGAUGAUGGUUGUGUAAACUCUGUUUGGAAGCAACCCAUCAAGCUUUUUUCAUAAUCAUAAUAUAACAAACCCUAAUAAAGUAAUAACAGUAUACUAAAACAAAACUUAGGUAAAAAUUGACUACCAACGCUUUUGACUUUGCCAAAAAACUCUUGGACCCAGAAGUGUGGUAAAUUUUUUGUUUCCGGCGAUUCGCAAUGUUCUUGGAUGAAUAAGUCUAAAAACAACAAAUAAAUAUCGAACAAGCUAAACAACUAACUCCAUAUUAUAACUAAAACAAUGUAAAAUACAAAGAUUCGUACCUAAAUUUCCUUUCCCAAAUUAUAGUUGAUGAAAUUCUCCCAUUGACUCAGAUUGACAUUUUUUGGUAUACUCUUUUAGUUUUCCUCAUUUGUACCCUCCUUAUCGCACUUUUAUCCUAAAUGUUUUGGCAAUCUUCCCUCCACUUCUUCGCAAGGUCCCUCAUAAUGUACUUGCGAAUAGUUUUGUCAUCAGCAUCAUUCCAAUAGAAUUUUCGCUACAACAUGAUUAGGUAGGUACUUAGAAUUAUUAGCAAUCUAUAACAUCUAACAUUAUGUAGGUAUGUUUACUAAUGAACUAUAGACUUACUUGUAUGAAAUUCUUGAAAAUGUGAUCCUUCUCCACUUUGGUGACCUUAUGCCAGUUUUUUGCACCGUUAUCGAAUUUUAAUUACAACUAUCCAUUCUUAUAAGUUGUCUAGCUCAUUCAUAUGUACAAAUUUUGCACACAGCUGUUUUAACCAUGAACAAAACUUAACUAACACGAAACACACAUGAGUAGGUAAUACAUUAAUUCGAAUGGCCAAUGGUAAAAGUUCAUGCAUCAGUGACAGUCAUGAGUUUUCAAUCCUAUUACCUUUCAAUGUUCCACAUCAACACAUCUGGAUAUACGACCUGAAUAUCCAUCGGGUACGACAAUAUCCUUUCAAGUCUUAAGCAUAACAUCUAUUUCUUGCUUGCCCAAGGUAUACAAAGUAGCAAGACAUAUCUUCCCAUCAUCUUUUUGCUAGUGUCCUUUGCUAAUUCCCGUAGCCUUUCAAAUCAAAUCAUGCUUUCAGAUGAUCUUUGCUUUGAGCCUUCUCAUUUAGCAGAGUAUAUUAUAUACUUUUUUCAAUAUGCAUAACAUACAGAUUGUGUCGAAGCAAAUUGAACUCCUAAUAAGGUAAUUGGAAGAAGCAAUUUUUCUUCUCCUAUUGUUCAACUUUUUUCUUUCCUCCAAUGUUUUCACUUUCAAGUGCUCUCUUCUUUUUAAGAAGUUCAACCUUUUUGGUUUCUUUCUCCUUCCCAAAUGUGGUAGUAACAUUUUUACUUGCUUUACUAUUUCAGAUCCUAAUAAUAGUUGUGGUGGUCCCAUUUGCUUAACUCUAUCAUUAAAUCUGGAUUUUUGAUGUCGAAAGCGAUGUCCCAUGGCAAGAAUCAUCUACUGCCAAUAAAACUACUACAACAACAAAUGUAAUAAGUUGCCGGCUAUUAGAAGUAGGGAAUUGGUCCUGCGCCCGGCUAUGUCGUAGGCGUAGCUGACUUUGUUGCCGUUACUGGUGCCUGUGACAAGCUCAUCACAGGCCGAGUGCGACGAGGAAAUGACUGUGACAACCCGUCGCGGCCCAACGACGAGUAACCAAAGCCUUGUACAAAGCUAGUUGUAGGCGCCCGCGACAAAGCCCCUUGCCCGCGAUAAAUUGUUUGGUGCGAACGCAAUAAACUUUGUCGCAAGCCACCUGCGACAAAUACUGUCCGGCGACAAAGCUUUCUCGCAAACGGCCUGCGACAAAGCUAGAGCCUGCGACUAAGUUCUCGAAUGACUACCCUUCAGCCGAACCUCCCAACUCACUCUUUCAAUUUAUCGUGCCCUCCUCUCCAAAAAAUCCUCUCAUUCUGUCCAAAAAUCCUCUCAGAUUUCUCCUUUUGUCUCUGAUCGUCACUGUCGCCAUCAUUCUUUGGUCGGAAAUUUCCAAUGUCACUUAUUUUGUGCAAAGGCAAAAUCCAAGAACUAUUGCACCCCGUCAAUGUUCCGAGGGCUGGUAUGAGGCAAACUCAACCAAGAGUUAUCCAUCUAAACAAUCAGUGUACCUAAGUAAUAUUUUAUGAUAAUUAUCAUCACAAUAUUACAAUAUUAAAUAUUCACUAGAUUCGAGUUGUUGUAAGCCACAAAGUGGACACACACAGACGAUGGAAGGCGGGGAAGGGACCUUUGGUCAUCGUCGACGAGUUGAACGCCAGCAAGAAGAAUGGGCGGCAACAACGCCAGAGAAAUGAGAUGGCGCCGGAGAAAAAGAGAGGAGAAGAGAAAAAAAGAGGAGAAAUGGAGAAUCACAAAUUCUGCUAGCUGGAGGUCAAGUAUAUUAUCAUAUACUUAUAUUUAAAUAACAAUUUUUUUAGUGAAGCCAUGCUAAAGACUUGAUAUUUACUAAAUAUAAUUCCUAACAUUAUAACAAAUCCCAUAUGAACUUUGGCAUAAAGAAAAGCCAAACUUAAGUUAGCUUCAAGUUUGGGGCGGUAGAAUUGUCAAAUUAAUCUGGAAAGUGCACAAUUUUUGAAUUCUCCUCAUUUUUUGAUUUCGUCUUCCAUGAAACAUAAAAAGGGACAAAACAUUUACCUUAAUUAAUUAGAUUAUCUUUAACAGUAUCAUUUGUUGGGCAUGUGCUGGCCAUCUUUUUGUCUCACUUAUUUUCGCACGUGCAGUAAUAAUACUGCAAAUCACAACCAAAUAUCAACAGACCACGCCAUAAAAUCCAAUCACCAAGUUGAGCCUCAGGAAACAAACUCAGAUCAAUGACUAAUAAAAAUUGGUGGGUAGUUCCUAUAAAGUAUUUGGGCCAUGUAUGAUUAAAAUAAUUGAUUUUAAGUUAUUUUAAAUAUUUCAUUAAAAUCAUUUGUUUAAAAAUCAAAAUAAAAUAUAUAGUAUUUCGAAAUGUGAUAUUUAUAAUAAUUUAUUUUUUUAGUUAUUUUAAAUACUUUUUCACCAUUUAGAUAUUUGAAAUAUUUUAUUAUUUCAAAAGUGUAAUAUUUCCAUUACCAAAUAUCAUAUUAAAUAAUUCAUUAAUCAAACAAAAUAAUUCUAUUUCACUUUUCACCUCAUAAAUAUUACAUUCUCAAAUAACUUAUCAGUUUAUUCCAAAAUACUACAUAUUCAAAAUACCUUAUUCAAACGACCCGCUAAUAUUAUCGUUUCGAAUCACCCAACCAACUAGCUCAUCAUAAUUACUGGCCUUUAUUAUUAGAUGUACUGAAAAUUGGGUCCGCUUUAAUUUAUUACAAAUCCAAAGCCCCACAAAACCCAACUUUGUUAUUACAAAUCAACCACGCGCCAACUUAAUUACUAUCCUUCCACGAUUGGGAGUACAGAAACCCAACUCCGUCCGACCAAUCAAAACGUUGACCUCUUAAGCGAAGUCAAGGUUAUUGAAGCACCCAGCGACGACGUUCCCACCUCAAUAUCAAACGAGUCGUACCUCUUAAACAGCUCCACCACAAACAGCCUUGCCGCCAUCACCACGAAAUCCUUCCCUGCGCACUGCUUGUUCGCCACGCUCGGCGUCUCCGUCUCCGGCCCGUUCGACCACAUCACGUACUCCAUCAGCUUCACCCCUUCCCCGACGAACCGGUCCGCCACGAACUCCUCGGGUCGGUCAAAUAUCUUCGGGUCUUUUGUCGCGAACGGUUGGUAUCCGAACAGCAUCUCCCCUUCUUUCACCUGGUACGCCGCCUCGUGGCUUUCCAGUAUGAAAUCCUUCUUCGCCUUCCCGUACUGCAGCGCAACCGGCGGCUCGAUACGCAGCGUUUCGUACACCACAGACUUCAUCAGCGGCAUCUGUUCCAUCGCCGCCAUCGUAACUUUCCCUCCGCCCGUCGAUUGGAUUGCGGAUCUGAUUUCUUGUGCCAGCUUGGUGUGGAGCUCCAAUCCUGCCCGCCCGAUCCACUUCAUCAGGCUUGGGAACAGGAUCUUGAACCCUCCCCAUGAGUUGAAACACACGGCGAAGAGGAUGUUAUGGCAAGCUUCGUCCCGCGAGAUCCCGGACUGUUCGGCCUCGUCAAGCACAGAUCCGGCGGCGGAGGUGAAGAAUUCGUAGAGACGGUGGUAAUCGUUCUUGAUGAGCAACGGCGGGAGGCGGACGGAGUGGAGAGUGGCUUCCUCAACCUCUUUGGGCAAACCGACGCUGAGAAUCGGAGCAAGGUUGAAGAGGACCCAUUUGGAAAUCAAGGACGGCGCGUCUUUCCCCAACGGAGUGUCGAUCGGCUUGACACCGAAGAAGGCGCGUGAGAGGAAAUUGAAAGCUGCUUGCUCGGCGGGGUCGUUGAAAGCUGCUUUCCCUUUAGUAGCCAAGUCGUAUUCAACGACCUCACAAAGGUCGGUGAAAGAGGAAGAGAAUUCGGGAAUGACGUAAUCGCGGCGGGGGGGUAUGAGAUUGAAAAGGAGUUGCUUGAGCUUGGUGUGAUUGGGCUCGGAGGGGUCGAGGUAGGAGAGGAUACGGUAACCGCCGGGGAGCGCAGGAGAGGAUACGGUAACCGCCGGUGAGCUCAGUAGAGGGCAUGUAAGUUCCAGUGAAGAGAUCCUUCUUCUCGACUUUGGACAUGUCGAAGAGUACAGGAAAGCUCUUGGCGUCGAGGAGGACGAUGACACGAGGAUUGGAAGCGAUGAAUGGGCCAGGAGGCAUGUUGGCUCUGUAGACGGUUGACUUGUAUUUCUGGAGCCUUGACUUGAAGAAUUCUUCGCGGCCUUGGUUGUAGAAGUAAUCGAGACGAUCUUGGAUAGGUCCAAUUCCAGGGAGACCGUAGUCUCCAGGAAUCUGGCGGAUAGGGAGAGUGGUUUCAUCGGAGGAGGAAGGAGGGAGGAGGGGGCUGGCUGGUGAUCCCUGGGAUUUUGAUAGGAGAGUCACCGAAGAGAGAGGCUUUAAUGGGACGGAAGGCGGAGACUCUGCGGAGGUUGGAGAAAGUGUUUGGUAGUGGUGUUGAUUUUGGUGAUGGGGAGAGUGUGUUUGGGUUGACGGCCACCAAGUUGUUGAGAGCAGAGGAAGCCAUUAUUUUGUUAAUGUUUGAGUGUUGUUGGUACAGUACUAGAAAGGUAUUUUAAUUGGAAAAAGUUGGCAAGGAGGGAAAAUGAGUUUUUGGAGGUGGUGGAGAUUCAUGGUCAGCAAAUUGUCAGUCUUUUUAUAGUAAACUUUUCGCUAGUGGUGGGACCAACUAUUAACUACCGCCAUUAUUAUACAAUUUAUAAUAGUAAUAUAUGAAUAUUAUAGUUGUGAAAGCACUACUUCACACCGCAUCGCACAUGAUUUUUAAUUCAAUUAAGGCUUUGGCUACCGUAUGAAUUUUUGGCCGUUCACCNNNNNNNNNNUGCUUUAUUUAUUCGUGCCCGUCCCCCGCCGUCGCCAUUCAAAGGCGGUGAAUGGUGGUCGGCAUUCGAUGUGUGACGGAUUUUUUUAUUAAUUAUUAUUAUUUAAAUGUAAUUAGUGUGAUUUAGAUUAGUGAAUUAGUAAUUAAAUAUGUGGUAAUUAGUGUGAUUUAGUUUAGUAAUUUAUUUUAGUGAAUUAAGAUUAGUCAUGUUAAUUAAGAUUAAUUAGUAGAGAUUAGUAAAUAUAGUUACAAUUAAUUUGAUAAUUAAAUAUUUGGUAAUUGAAUAUCUAUUUAAUUAAUAUUUUGAAAUUAAUAAUUAAUCAUGCUAAUUAAAAUUAAUUAGUACAUACAAACUUAACAUUGUAAUGAAAAAAUUUGUAGUUACGAUUAAUUAUACAUCUAAUUUAGAUGAAUACAAACCUAAAACCCUAAUUUAGAUGAAUUAUUAAUUAUACAUCUCCACUUGAAUGUUUGUUUGAAAAGUAGGGUUUAGUGUUAGUUUUUUUAAUUAAUAGUUACGAUUUAAAUUGCAUAUAUAGUUGGUAGCGAUGUCGGGGGAGAUCAUCGUUCGCCGAGGUUUAUCGAUCGUUAUGUUUCUGCCUCGAACGAGGAAAGAGCGAAGGGAAAUAAGUCUAGGCUAGGGGAUGUUGGUCAGUCGAGUGCACAGUUUCAAAUUCCCGGACCGAUAUAUUUGGACCCCAAUCUACACCGUACUGGGAGAGAGCUGACGAUUGAUGAGAUUUUUGCUAGCCAGCCCCCGGAUUUGGGCGAUGAAAUUUAUACCAUCCGAGACGACUCAGACGACGACGGUGACGGGGAUGAGGAUGACGAUCGUGAUACCUCGUUUCACCCCCUCGUACUUCACAGUGCUCGUUCGCAGAAGAGACCAGCAAGGAGGGGUAUAGGCGCUCCAUCGGGAUCAGGAGCAGGUAGCUGGUCAUCUUAAGGAUCAUAGGGUUCUUCUAUCGUGGGUCCUCGACGUAGCAGAGUUGGGCUGUCUACAAGGGGUCCAGUCCAGAAGCACUUGUGGGGAUUGGUUGCUUACAGGUCCAACACCUGGUAGGCCACGGAUCCCUACUCUGAUCCCUAGUUUUGGCGGUCACAUAGCCCACCGCCUAUGGACGUGCGAUUUCACGCGGUUUAGACUCGAGGCCGGCAUCACCGUUCUGGCUCCGCCUUGGGAAGGUUAUGGUUCGUAAGCUGGAGAGGUUCCUGUGGCCUUCCGAUGCGGCUCGACAUUUCGUCGAGGCCUCUGGGUUGUCGUACCUCAAACAAAUUAUGUCAUGGGGGUUGGAUCUCCCCAUACUGUUGGAGUUCAUUGAGAGGUGGUAGACAGAGACCAACACCUUUCACAUGCAGUUCGGGGAGAUGACGAUUACGUUGCACGAUGCGAUGUACUUACUCAAGAUUCCCAUACGGGGCACCCAGCUUAGUUUAGAGGACGAGAGGAAUUAUGUGGCACAGCUUGCUUCCAUGCUUAAUGUUUCAGGUGCUGAGAUUAGGGAGAGGUGCUAUGCAGCAGGCGGGUUUUACCUAGACCACUUACUCGGAGUUUCCCAGACAGGUGAGCAUGACAAUACGAGCACAACCGUCUGCUGCUUGAUUGCAUUGAGUUCCACUAUUUUUGCGGACAACAGUCAGACUUGUGUAUGUAUUGGGGUUAUUGAGGGAUUGCCAGAUGUGCGGAUGACACGAGAGUAUAGUUGAGGUGCACCCACACUUGCUUAUUUGUACAGGAAGCUCGGGGUUCCCUCUCGCAUGGGAUCGACGUCGCUGUCGGGCUGCCUGCCUUUGUUGCACUCGUGGAUCUACGAGGACUUCCCGAGCUUGAGUCGUAGAUUGUCCCUAAGCGCACGUUUGAGUGGAGAGGCACUUGCUGGGCGGUGGGAUGGAUCGAGGAUCGUUGAGUGAGCCGUUGACGCUGAUGCGAGGAUUUAGACACUACGGUCGCUGUUGGAUGGGAUGACGCUCACCCACAUCGAAUGGAUUCCCUACGGUUUACCGGAUUUCGAAGACGAGGCUCAGUGGUCCUUAUCCAGUGGAGGCAUACAGGCAUUCGAUUACAUUGAGCCUCACGAUCCCACUCGGCGUCAUGAGAUAGUACGGGUUAUGACAUGUGCAGCUAGAUUGAGUUCUCGUGCCAUAGUUUGCGUCUAGGCUUGCUGAUGGAGCACAGUAUUCACUUACGCACUCUAAAUGGGACUACAGUCGGCAGAGUUUCUUGACACACUUACCCUUCUUCAGCACUCGCAGUGCACCAGGAGCCCCAAAGGAAACACUUAUACGAGUCUGGUGGACCAGAGGGAUUUGUUGCGCGGGCCCAGGAGUACUGCGAUAUCGUUGAGGGCAUGCGAGAGUUGUGGACUAAGUAUGCUCUGUAGUUUAUUGUUUUCCAUCACCCGUUCUGUACUUCUCUUGACUUUUUAGUUGGAUAAUUUGUACCGGGAUUGUUCUUCGUUUAGUUGACAUUAUCAGUACUCGAUGUUUAUUGGCACUGUAUGUGAGGUAUUUAUGUAGAGGACAUUCUGUGUUUUCCAUUGUCAUAGCGGUGUUCCAUUCAUAUAUGAAUCCAUUCAGUAGUAUUUUCCAAAAUUGCAUAGAAACAUAAAUUCCCUACAUAAGUAGAAAGCGUUUAUACAAACAAUUUAAUCAUCCCAACCUGAUCUAAAACAUUGAUGACAUCCUCAUCCUCGAGAUUGUUUCUGUUUAGAUUAUGCCCACCGCGAUCGAUGAACAAAUUUAGCUCAUUUUCGUACAUGCCAUACCAUAAUGCCAAAUGAGCAUCAUCCUCUACCCCUUCCCCAACCGGAUAGAAAGGCAGCAUCGUUCUCACCCCGUCGACCUCAGCCAAUUGUAUUUGCAGCCAAAUACAUAUCAAUUCUACAACUCGAUCUGGAUGCCUCAUGUCAGGACCACGAGUGAGCGGUAAGUACGUCUUUCCGAAUGUGUGUUGGCCAAUUGGUUCCCUACUGGAUGCGUGCACAACAAAAGCCCAAUUAUAGUCAGAAACAAGUCUGAUAAGAUCGACAUCCCACAACCAGUAUUCCGGUCCGUAAUCACCUCUAUUACCCAGUAUUCUUCUCUUCACGUAGUCAAGGUCCUGGCCCGAUGCUUCGUACACUCGGUCGUACCUGAAAUACCACCCCGUUGACACGAAGUCCCAAAGAUCUGUCCUUAUCUCUGGGUACCUUUCUUCAUUGCCAUAAACAAUGUGUGCUAUAACGCGAAACCCACAGUUUCUGUCGCUAUGGGGUUAAACCAAUCUCUAAGCAGUUCUCUGACACUAUGUGGGAUGUAAUCUUUGUACGAUAAUGUUCGAGCACUUACUGAUGGAGAGGUACUACCUGCUACAUUAUUUGCAUUAAUAUAAGGCUAUGGAAUACAAAAACAGAGAGUGAUAAACACAUCGAUAAACCGAAAAUAAUACUUACCAGUUUUCUUACGGCGUGAUGCAGCAGAUUUGACCUUCUCCCACCAUGACGGUUCCCUUGCAGUCUACCGUCUAGGAGGUCUGCCUUUUGGAGCAUCAGAUGUCUUCGGGUCCUAAAGAACCUUAGCCUCUGGAUGUAGUUGGGACUGGAGGAGUCUCGUUGCAGCACAAACGUGUGCUUCUCCUAAACUCUCGACCUCCUCAAUAGCUUCUCGCCAAACAUCACGCUCAGCACCGACUUCAUCUUCCCACCAGUAUGGUUGGGGGGGUUCGUAUAGUCUAAUGUAGCCCAUAAGUGAUGUAGGUGUCUCAUGUACGGCAACUGAUGCACUUCCACACAACACCGAAUGAUCGACGAAAUAACUUCACAGUUAAUUCGACAACCCAAGUGUCGUUCUUGUCCAAAUGUCCCUCUCGUUAUACUUCUAUUCAAACUUUCCAACACGGUUUAGAGUAACCUGAUUGGUUUUGAUUGGUAAUGAUUCUAAGGUUAUUUAAAACUAACCGUUCAAAGGUUGAUUCAAAGGGAGAAAGCAAAUUCUUGGAAGAGAUGAGUCAUCAAGCUCAACUUCCUAAACGCAUUCGAAAUGAACAAAUGUUGGGUUUGGAUUGAAUAAAAUAAGAUCCUCCUAUCACUCGUAUGAAUCCACGGCACGAUCAUGCACGUGGAUUACCAUUACUAGCUUCCCAACUAAGUAGAAAUAACCUUAAUCAGGCUAGCUGACAAUGAACACCGAGAAGUUCUACAAAGUGAUAAGGUGUUGUUCCAGAAUUAAAAGGAAUCACGAGUAAUCGAAAAUAGUGUUUACUUGGUCCAUCAAUGCCUAAGCUACUGAUAACUACACCCAACUUGGUCCAUUGGGUGAAAACCAGACCGCCCGCCAAUUACAAGAUGAAUAACUUUUAAAACUAGAAGAAAUACAAAAGGUAGAAUUGGGUUAUCGGCUUACCCCAUCGAUAACUUUCAUCUAUCUUUGACUGUUAAUCUUUUGAAUUCCUAAGUAUAUCAGAUAAAGGAUUUCAUAGAUUUGACCUAAUUCAGCCGUAAUAAAAAUUAGGUUGAAAACCCAACAAUUGAAGCAAACUUUCAUUAAAAUCCAAUUAUCCACAAUCGUUGUUUCUAAACGUUUAAGAUAGAUAUCAUGGCUCAAAUCCUACAUCUCAAACUAGAAACUCAAAGACUUAGCUACUCAUAACUCUAGAAGAAGACAAGUCUAGAGAAACCCUAACCAUCAUCUUGUUGAAGAGAAAAUAGCUUGUUCUUCUUCCAAUCGUCGCUUUUAGUCUUCUAGCUUCAAUCUUUGAUAAGAACACCUUUGGAUCUUCAAUUGAGCUUCUAGGGAAGGAUUUAUGCUUGUUUAUGCAGAAGGAAGUCGGGAAAAAUCGAGAGAAAUCGAGUUUGGGGAAGAAUUCCCUCUUUCCUCAAAAUCUUCACUCUAAGAAAACUCUAAAUCACAUGGUGAGAAGGGAAAACAACAUGCCAGCAGUUCAAGCCUACUUCACGAUGCCAUGAAAACACUCUAGAUCAUCAAACCACACAGUUAUGUUUAGUGGGUCUUCUAAUUCAAAUGAAGAACAAACCUAUGCAUAUAAUUAGUACCACUCAAUACCCAUCGACAAAAAACAUUCCCUAUCACUUAUGCUCAAAACAGAUGGUCCUGGCCGGGUAUUUUUCCUGUGCUAAGGGAGGGAGUGCGUACUUUAAUAAUGUAUUCAAAUAACAGCACUCCCCUCUUCUUUUGCAAUUUUAACUAUACAUUAAACACUAAACACGGUUGAGUCAAUUGAAUUACUCAAUUAAUUGCAAACUCACUUUUCAAAAAAUUUGUAUAGUUUUGGAGAGUAUCUUUUCAAAUGGGGAUAGUUGCGACCCUGAUCAGGCUAAGGCUCUCAUCCACAUAGAUAGAGUUUACCCGAAAAACCAGGCCCCACAACUAGGAAGAGUUGAGAAGAGAAACCUGAAGGGACUAGCUUAUAGGCGGCAUACUCAAAGUCGCCAGUAUGUUGAUUCGUUACCGAACCCCCACAAAAAUUUGGGCACAUUGGCCUCUUUUGCACCUUAUUCGGACCAUCUAGUUAAAUAUGACUUUAAACAACUAGAGUGACUCAAUAGGAGAAUUGAUUUGUCACAAGUCGGUAGGAGUCAAGAUUGAGUCACCAAGUGCAUAAAUCUAUUCUAACCUCGUUUCGAGAAUACGAGAGGCGGCUCAAGAAUGAUCUAUCAUGCAUCCUAUUCACCCUCAAGUAGANNNNNNNNNNNNNNNNNNNNNNNNNNNNNNNNNNNNNNNNNNNNNNNNNNNNNNNNNNNAAGAGGGAAUUUCAAAUGUUGAACGACAAGGAUUCAAUCAAGCAAUCAAGUGAAAUACUAGCAUCCUAAUUCAUCCCAUAAAUCACAACAUUAUCCUCACAAGAAGUCACAUUUAGAGAAGAGGUAUGGUGAUACCAAAUUGAGUUGAUGAAAUGGAGUUUGGUGGUGAGCUGUGAUAGAAGAACCAUUAUUGAGACCUGCCAACGGUAAACAAAACACAAAAAUAUCAUACUAGUGAUAGAUGUAACAAGUUUCAAGGGUCCAAUUGAAGCAAGAAAGUUACCCAAACAAUCAAAACCAACCACCCCCCCCUCCCCANNNNNNNCCCCCCCCCCCCCCAUACUUAGAAUUUUUGCGUCCUCACGAAAUAACUAAUGUGGAAGGUAGGGAAACAAACUUUGGGAAGAUGACUUUUGAGAACAAGGGUGCACGGCGUGCAUACCUUUAUGCUACGAAGGUUUCGAAAUAAUCUAGCCAUGCACGACGUGCAUGCUAGAUUUACAGCCACAUUUUAAUUCAUCCUUCAACAACACUCAUCGAACACAAACACUCAAUAAUCACAGCUCCCUAACAUUCAUUUGGCAAUAACUAUCAAAUUGGACACUAUCAACGGAUUCAACACUUGACUCAACCACAAGUUUGACACAAAAGAUAUGCCACAAGACACACAAACCAAUAAUCCUUGGGCUUUUGAUUCUCUAUUCUAAGAAUGGAUACGCAAGGGGUGCCUCCCAAGAGCUCUUCUUUUUCGUCUUAAGCUAGAUGUCCUCCCAUGAACAGUCCAAAGUGGGAAACAAUCGACCUCGUGGACAACACCAACGGUGUCACCAGCUCGAUAGAGUUUCAAACGGUGACCGUUCACUUUGAAAGGUCCAGAAGAGGUGAUGUUGUUACCUCAAUGAUCCCAUAAGGGAAGACCUUGGUGACGGGGAAUGGACCACUCCACCGAGACUUGAGUUUCUCGGGAAACAGCUUGAGCCUCGACUUGAAUUUGUUGAUUGACCUCAAGUGGGGAUCAUGGUACCUCUUUGUCUUCUACUUGCAUAUCCUAGAGCCCUCAUAGGCAUGGCAUCAGGGUUGCUUGAGCUCACCAGCCGGCAGUGGUUGAACUCAAGUAGUGCUUCAUCGGAUGUCUUCUUCAAGGUAGAAACCCCCACAUGCGGAGUAACUACAACACAAACCUGUUCGUUAUGUAACUCCUGCAACAAUUGAUUACUCAAGGACGAAUCCAAGGCAUCUAGAUUGAACAAGUCAUUAACUUGAAAGGCUGAAGCAAUGGCAUGAACAUUUUUAGAAUCAACAUGGUCAAAAUUAACAUCAUCUUGCACAUGAGAAUAUUUCAUGUUUAGGGUUACCUUAAAGGUAGUCUCCUCCUUUCCAACACGCUAGGUGAGUGUUCCCUCAAACACAUCUAUAAUUGCUUUAGAAGUGUUAAGAAAGGGUCUACCUAAGGUCAAAGAAAUAUCGUUAAAUCCGGUAUCAACUACCACAAAAUCGACCAGAAACACAAAAUUUCCAAUUUUUACAUAAACAUCUUCCACAAUUCCCUUGGGGAACUUAGUCGACUUAUCCGCCAGUUAGAGUCUCACUCGAGUUGGCUUAUGUUCGUUCAAUCAUAGCUUUUUAUACAAUGAGUAUGACAUCACGUUUAUACUAGCACCUAAGUCUACUAAGCCUUUCUCAAUAUCAAAUUCUUUAAUCCUACAAGGGAUAUGGAAAAUACCUGGAUGCUUGAGCUUUGUAGGGAUAUAUGUGGAGACGAUGGCUGAACAUUGCUCGUUGAGGGUGACAUUUGCAGCUUCUGUCACCUCUCGCUUGUUAGUGAAAAUAUCCUUCAUGAACCUAGCAUACAUUGACAUCUUAACAAUGGCAUCAACAAAAAGAAGUGUGAAUUGCACUCCUUUGAGCCUUUGCACGAAUUUUUCAAAACUCUUGGCACGAAGAUCCUCAUCUAACCGGUUGGGAUAUGGUGCCUUAGGCUUAUAAGGUGCCAACACCGAUUUUAAGCUAGAAGUAGCUCCUUUCUCUAUUGAAACUUCUACCUCAUUUGAAAGUUUUGAUACCCCAUGAUGCAGAAGAGGUUAUAACACUUCUUCUUCAUCCUCUUUGGCUUCAUCUUCAAUGUCAUUCACCACAUCCUUUUUCUCUGCCUCUUCCUCAUUAUUAUCCUCAUAAGUGGUAUUAUCCUCAUAAGUGGUGAUAGCCUUCAGUUCCGCAAAACCACCUUUUGGAUUCUCCUCCGUAUUUCCAGGUAUGGUACCCGGUUGUCGAAUGGAGAGGAGGCAUUCCAUAUGAGCUUCCAAGUUGUUGAUGGAAGUUUGCUGGUUCUAUAUGAAAGUUUGCUGUUCUGAAUGAGUUGGAGUAGCAUGGCGUUGUUGUCCAUUGGAGAUGCUGAUGAACAUGAUGGUCCAACUUGAGGUGCAACUGCUUGUGGGAAUCCGGGAGGAGGUGCUCGAGGGGCUUCAUAACCCUGCUGAGUAAACCCCUGUUAUUGUCCUUAGGGUGGAUAACCCCUAUGAUUUUCCUGGCGGUAACCUUGAUUUUCUUGGAAGCCUUGGUUGUACCCGGAAUUUGAUUGCCCUGGAGGUCUUUGAGGAACCGCUUGUGGUUGCUUAGGAACUUGACUUUGAGGUCCCAGACGAUAUUGAUAGUUAUGGUAGCCUUGAUGGUUUUGUGGAUAGUUGUAGUAUCCACCUUGGUUGGGUCAGAAGUUAUUAUGGUAACCACCUGAAUUGUACCCAACAUGUUGAUUCUGAUCGCUGUGGACAUAAUCCACCUGCUCGAAAUUAUCCACAUCUUUUUCUGGAGCAGCUUCCUCUGAAGAAAAUUGACAUGAUUGAACAUCAUGUCCUUCAUGCCCACAACCCUCGCAGUAGUACACCAUCACUGCUUUCCGUGGUUGAGGUUUGGGAGGCGGUGCGGCCUCUUUGAUGGGCGCCUUGGGCAAGGCCAUGCUAUUCAUCUGAUGCACCAAUGCAUCAACAUUGGAGUGGAGAAGAUGGAGGGAUUGGUCUGAGUUGUCGUCGGGAGCUUGCUGAGGCGUGCUUGAUGAUGGUGGGGCAACUGGUGCUUGUAAGCUCCUUGGUGCUUGUUGGCGUGCCCAAAUCUUGGUCUUGAUAGCCAUUUCCCUGAAUAGCCGCAGACACCUCACCGGAAUAAGUGACUUCAGAUCACCGUCUGCAGCUUGGUUGAUCAUUUGCGUGUUCUCAUAAUCAAGAGCACGCACGAAGAUGUCCGCCAGAGUCCAAUCCUCCAUGUUGUGAUGGGUGCAGGAGUACAGCAAGGAUUGGAAGCGGUCCCAGGUCUCGUGAUAGAGCUCUCUAUAUCUUCACUGAAAAUUAAUGAUUUGAGCCUUGAUUGCAUAUGUCUUAUAGGGCAAAAAGAACUCUUCUAGGAAUGCUUUAGCCAAAGCAUCCCAUGUCUGGAACCAGUUGAUUGGUUGAUUGUCCAACCAAGCUUUGGCCUUCCCUUGGAGCGAGAAGGAGAAAAGCCUCAUGGGAACAACAUAUGCAUGGACCCCGUUCAACUUCAUGAGCUCUACGAUUUCGGUGAAGUGUCUCAGAUCGGCACUAGUGAUUGUUGCCUAAAUAUGGUCUCUGCUACACCAUCUGAACAUAUGGGGUUUUCACCGCAAAAAUCCGGUUGUUAACUGGAGGAGAGACUAUGCUCGAGCCAGUGCCUGCAAGUCUGGACUUAGCAUAGUCCCCAAGUGUUCAGGCUGCGUCUCCCAUUAUGAUUGGUUCAUCGAAUUCUUCUUCUUCGCUUCAAGAAUUGGACUGAAAAGAAACUGUUGGCAACGAGGAGGAUACUGAGAUUGGUGAAUGAGGUGGUGAAGGUGCUGGGAGGAUAACCUCUAAGCUGAGGAUGGGUUGAUGUUGAGGAGAGAGCACAAGUCGAGGUGGUGUGAGAUUACACUUCAAAAUCCAAAGUCGUCGCUCACAGAUUCGACUAGAUUGUCUCAUAUACUACACCUACACUCCUGCACAUCUAAAAACAACACGCCAAAGUGGAACCCAAACUAAAAAAAGAGAUGGAAAAACAAAAACUAAAACGGUGUCGAAUGCCUAAAUCGGCACCGACUAAGUCCUUUUGAAGGAACGAGAGAGAGUCCCCGGAAACGACGCCAAAAAUUUGAUCGCCGAAAUAACUUCACAGUUAAUUUUACAACACAAGUGUCGUUUUUGUCAAAAGGUCCCUCUCAUUAUGCUUUUACUCAAAUUUUCCAACAAUGUUUAGACUAACAUGAUUGGUUUUGCUUGCUAAUGAUUCUACGGUUAAUUAAAACUAACAGUUCAAACGUUGAUUCAAAGGGAGAAUACAAGUUCUUGGAGGAGAUGAGUCAUCAAGCUCAACUUUCUAAAUGCAUUUGAAACGAAAAAACGUUGGACUUGGAUUGAAUAAAAUGAAUCCUCCUAUCACUUGUAUGAAUCCACGGCACAAUCAUGCAUGCGGAUUACCAUUACUAGCUUCCCUAUUAAGGUAGAAAUAACCUUAAUCAGGAUAGCUAACAAUGAACACCGAGAAGUUCUAUAAAGUGAUAAGGUGUUGNNNNNNNNNNGUAAUAAGGUGUUCUUCCGGGAUUAAAGGAAAUCACGAGUAAUCGGAAAUAGCGUUAACAUGGUACAUCAACACCUAAGCUACUGAUACCUACACCCAGCAUGGUCCAUUGGGUGCAAACCAGAGCGCCAGCCGAGAACAAGAUGAAUAACUUUUAAAACUAGAAGAAACACAAAAGGUAGAAUUGGGUUAUCAGCUUACCCCACUGAUUACUUUCAUCUAUCUUUGACUGUUAAUCUUAUGAAUUCCUAAGUAUAUCAAACAAAGGAUUUCAUAGAUUUGACCUAAUUCAGCCGUAACAAAAAUUAGGCUGAAAACCCAACAAUUAAAGCAAACUUUCAAUAAAAUCCAAUUAUCCACAAUCGUCAUUUCUAAACGUUCAAGAUAGAUAUCAUGGCUCAAAUCGUACAUCUCAACCAAGAAACUCAAAGACUUAGCUACUCAUAACUCUAGAAGAAGACAAAUCAAGAGCAACCCUAACCAUCAUCUUGUUGAAGAGAUAACAGCUUGUUCUUCUUCCAAUCAUCGCUUUUAGUCUUCUAGCUUCAAUCUUCAAUGGGAACACCUUUGGAUCUUCAAUUAAGCUUCUAGGGAAGGAUUUAUGCUGGUUUUUGCAUAGGGAUGUCGGGAAAAAUCGAGAGAAAACAAGUUUGGGGAAGAAUUCCCUCUUUCCUCAAAAUUUGCCCUUUCAUAGGAAGAUGCCGAAACUGUUGGGUGCAAGUCGUGCACCUCCUUAUUUUUAAAAUUUUGCGUAGCUGAAAGUGCGGAAUGUCGUACAUGGAUGAAAGCCGUGCUGCUCCUAUUCUCCAAUAUUUCACGUAGCAAAAAGGGGUCGAACGGCGUGCAGGGGUGUAUGUCGUUCCCCUAUUUUGAGGUCGAGGAUUUUGACAUGCACUAGGGAUGCACGGCGUGCAGGCCCUCUGCUCCAUCAUUUCCUUUCUCAAUCUUCCGUUUGAACUCCAAUCAUGCUAUACUUCAUGUCCUUAGCUUCAUGGCCAGACCACCUAUCUGCAAAGUACCUGUAAGUGACAAAUACUAAAAAGAACACAUCAAAUGGACUGAAACGGUCAAAAUGAACGGAUCUAGACACAUGAUGCCAAAACAUGAAAUCAUAUAGGAAUGAAGCUCGAACAAACUAAUAAUCACUCAAAAAGCAUGCAUAAAAGGAUAGAUAAUUGGUACAAAUCCUAGCACUAUCACCGAACUUAACAUCUAGAAGGCAGCCCCUUGGUAGUCCGGAUCACACACAUGCAUGACCUCACCAACUUCCAAUCCUCAACCAGUAGGUCAAUCUCCCAUAAGUUGACCAUCGUGUUAAACUUCCCAUACAGUUUCUCCCAAGUGAAAACAACUGCAUGCAACAAUGUGAGAAAGACAUGCAAUACACUUGAAACUACCGUACGUACCUUCAUUCGUGAGUCAUCCAGCGACUGUCUUAUCUCCAGCAGUUGACCCGUCAUUAGUCGAUCGUAUGCCCGAAAAAGUCCGCCAGCCUUACUGAUCGAGGUGUGUAGCCAAGUCUUCAAGGUGGAGUGAGAUGAUUCCACCCUAUUUGUGCUUGUGUUUCCGAUAUGGAACACCUUGUUUGUGUAGCAACGCUCCCACUUCUACUUGCAAGUGAGCCACUCCGAUUCCAGAUACUGUACUAACUAUGGACUCCAACCUCCUUCUACCAGAUCGUUCCAUUUCCUGAAAAACAAUUGGCUCGUUCUAGCAUUCAGCACUUGGCCCCAUGGACCUUAUACGAACCUCUCGGCGAUCUCUAUGUUGUACAACUUGGUUACCCUUCCCUCGAUGUUUCUCUUCAUGUGCCAAACAUAGAGUAAAUGUGUCGACGAUGGGAAUAUAUAAUGUAGUGCGACAACCAAUCCUCUCUCCUUAUCAGUAAAAAAGGCAUCCAACACUCGAACACCAAGAACGAAUUUCAACUAAUUUAGUGCCUAAGCGUAUGACUCCAUUGUUUAAUCUUCCGCAAGCACCUACAAACUGUACAACGACCUUCUUGUACACGUUCGGACGUGGAGUCGACCAAGACGAAAAAAUAGCAUGCGUGCAACAUCUGCAUUGACUCUGCGUAUGAGAUGUAGAGAUGAGUGACAGUCUUUGGCAUCUCUGAGGUAAGUAGUAAAGUACCCCAAUUUUAUCGCUUCUAUCAACGUCCAUUGCAUUAGGUUCAUUCCGCAUAACCUCAUUCGCCUUAUUCUCGUCGUCUCACUGUAAAUAUGCUUCAUGUUGAUCAUACUGUCAUACUCAUUGUUGAUUAUGCUUCGCAUAUGUCUUGGGGGAACGUCGUUUUACCUCCAGCUGUCUAAUGUUGUCUUUCAUCUCGUCUAUGAGCUGAUUCCGUUAUUGUGUCCCUUCACGCUAUAACUCGAACUUAUGGUUGUGGAAUGAUCUAAGAAUCCAGCGUUUACAUCAUCUUUGACAGUGUCAAUUCUCCAUUUCCACCCAGCGUCAACGCGUCUAGGCCGCACACACACAAUGAACGUACAACCUGAGUAAGAUAUUAUAGUCGUACGUGAACUCUAUGAAGAGGCAGUGGACUGUGAUUUGCCCCUGCCACCAUGCGAGCAAUACAAGUACAACCAUAUUUUUCUUCACGAGGGUUCUUCUUAUGUGAUCCACGAAUCAAUUGAAAUCCUAAGCCUAAAGCAAUGUCCUUAGCCGCAUCACACGCAUCAUUGGCAGUGUCGUAAAACAAUCCGUUUACGAAAUAACCGUCAUAAUUCUAGUGUUCUUCAACAUCAUCAUCAUCAGUAGAACUUCCCUAAACAUGGUAUAACAACACCUAUCAGUCGGUGUACUAUGUUCAUAGUAUUCGUUCACUGCAUGCCAAACACUAAACCUACGAUUCACAAUUACUCAUUUGGUACAAUAACGAGAACUUACCGUAUGGCUCAUCACUGCGCUUCACAUAAUAAUACAAAUAACAAAAUUGCACAUAUUAUAUAAUUAUAACUAGUAAUAUUUAUGGUAGUAUUCAUUAUUAAGAUUAAUGUUUAAUAUAUUGUACAUAUAAUAUGAUUAUAACUCUUAACUUCAAUAAUUAAUAUUAUUAAUUUACGAGUUCAAAUUCGUAAAUACAAAGUCAACAAAAAUAAUAUUAUGAUUAAUAUUUAAUAUAAUGUACAUAUUAUAUAGUUAUAUCUAUUAAAUUCAUUAAUUAAUAUUCUUAAUUUACGAAUUAAAAUACACAAAUACAAAAAUAAAAUAAUACCGUUGCCAUAUCAAAUGGCGACGGUUAUGAGUGGCCGCGACGAAGGCGGCACAUCGGCACGGCGGCGGAACGACGGCUACGACGGUUGCGGCUACGGCGGAAUAAAUAGGCAAUUUUGAUUUGUCGUUUCAAUUGGUAUAAAAAUUUCUCGGUUUUUCGCAUCUUAUAAAGAAAUUGGUAUUUCACUAUUUCAGGGGCGUUUUCGUCAUUUUAAUUUCCGAUUUCGAAUGUUAAGACUUUUCGUAGUAAAAUGCAGGGCGUUUUAUAGCAAUCCAAGACCUUUUUUUGUUUAUCCCUAAUCCAUGAUCUUUCCUCCUUCUUAUCUAUGUUAAUACUAAUUAAUCUUUCUUCAAUAAAAUAUACCAUAUUCCCCGUUCGGCAAACUCAAUUCAGUAUUCGAGUAGCCAUCUAAUUAUCUACCUUUGUGUUACAUCACCCGGUUAAAGAAAUCCGUAUAUGGGCACAAGUGUACCCAAAACAUAUUGGUACAUGAUAACGAACGGAUAUGAACUUAAUAAUAUCCACCCAAACCUCCCACCUGAUGGACACCCAUGAAAAAAUUUGAACUAGUCAACUAAGAACCAUUAACCAACUAAGAUUUACAUUCUAUUAUAUAGCUCAUACAGAGGGAAUAGGAACUCGGAACAUUGAAGCAAGUGGUGCACUUUCAUUUUGCUACAACCUUAGAUAAUUGCAUUUGUUGAACUGGUUUGGUCUCGAAGGCUAGACAACCGUCAGUCGCUUGGUCAAUGAUCAUUGAUACAGGAAGUACCAAUUGUCGUUGUGUAACUCAACAUUCGUUGUCUAAUAGUGACUUAAUGGUCGUUGUGCAGACAACGGCCUUUGGCAUUUCAGGAUAAAUAAACCUGACUCGCGGACCAACAUACAAAAUUAAUGUUCCCAGAAAUCAUUCUGUAAUUUCUACGAUUUCUUACGAAUUUAGGAAAUCGUUUAAUCCCAAGACUUCGGAGCAGUGAUAGGAAGAGGUUAGAGACGGCUUCCCUCUUUCGUUUGAUUGUAAUUUCCCUUCUCUACCUCUGAUUCCAUUCUUGGAAUUUCUGAAUUAAAAUAUGGAUUCUAAGGUUUUUAUUUUGGAAUCUCGAGUGGGAUUCAUGGAUGGGUCAGAUCGUAUUGUGAGCUCUUCAUUAUCAAUGCGGAUUCAUCAAGUAGGGGUUUUACAUACAGCUAUGCUUAAAGUGAUGUUGACUAAUUAGCCUUAUAAUAGGAUGUUAGAUGCUUAUUGACAUGAUUAGCCGCUUGAGCUUUUAGGGUUGACAGUAGUGUUCAUUAGCCUACUAAAGACUAGAGUAUGAUUUUGUCGAUCUUCCAACCAGACGUAGCAGUCUAUAUGAUGAUGAUUUGUUGAGAUUCCGGUCUCUAUGUGGAUACCUUGUUGUUAGUUUCUCUUUGACAUUUGAUUGACAUACUAUGUGGAUCUCCUUACUAGAUAAAGGCUGCUGGCAUUAUGACUAACCGGAUAAAAUGAUUAAGAAGUUACCCUCAGGAUAGUCCUAAUUAUGUGACGGACAAAUACUAGGGCUAUCCUGAGCAUGAGCAUUGUUAUUGUUUUAGCAUUUAUUGUUGUUUGAGAGUCAUAACCAAUGUUUUCAACCGUAUCAAAUUUUCUUGCGGUAAGAAUUUUGAUGGUUUAAUUACGAUUUCAUAUCGGUUCAACUGUUUAUAAUAUUAAAUAAAAAUAAAAUAGUAAAAUUAAUAGUAAAAUACUAUACAAGAUAAAUUAGUAAUAAAAUUAAAUUAUACAGGUGAUACAUAGCCUCAAAAGACAAUUAAAAUUUUGGAANNNNNNNNNNNNNNNNNNNNNNNNNNNNNNNNNNNNNNNNNNNNNNNNNNNNNNNNNNNNNNNUGCCAAAUAAUAAUUUUUUAUUUAUUUUAUUAAAUUAUAAUAACCGCUUAAAAAUAAAAAAAUAAAACCUAUAGAAAUUUGGGAGCAUUAUCUUCACCCACUUCCCUUUUUAAUUUCCAAUUAUCAAUAUCAAACUGAUUUAAAAUAGAAAUUAUUAGUCAUGGUUUAUGGCGGGCUAGGGUUGUUUUUUUUUUUAUAAAAUAUUUUUAAUAUAGAAAUUAUUGUCAUGAGUUAUAUAUUUAUUCAAAAAUAUAGAUUUAUUGGUCUCAUUAUCGGUUUGCUAAUGUAAUGCUGCUUAAAGCCGUUAAAGGUCUUAUAAUGAGCUAAUUUCUUGUAAUGAUUAUAACAUGUUGUUUGCCAAAGCUAGUUAAAAUUUAAGUUUCUCCCUGUAGCUCCGGCUUUAAUCCCGUUGGCUACACACUUUCAUAUAUUUAACGAGUGAACCGCGGUACGAUUAUAACCGGCCGAUACAACCACAAAUCAGUGGUUCAAUCGGUUGUAUCGGCCGGUUUUUUAAUGUUGCAGCGGUAUUGUGUACAUGAUCGGUUGGGUGACUGGUUCACAAUCCGACUGAUUCAAUUUGCUGUUUUGGUACGGUUUUCAAAACACUGGUCAUAACAGAUGAGUUAGAGUUACACAGUGGAUUAUAGGAUGUGGCCAAUACAACAGCAAAUCAGUGCUUCAACCGGUUGUGCGGCUGGUUUACUAAUGUUAGAAUAGUAUUGUGUACCAGAUUGGCUGGGUGACUAGUUCACAAUCCAACUAAUUCAACCGGCCAUUUUGAUACGAUUUUCAAAACACUAAUCAGACGGGUUAGAGUUGCAUAAGUUAAACUUGCGGUGGGUUAUAGGAUUGGUAGGUUACACAGAGAGCUUGGAUAAUGGAUGAUUUACGAGGGAGUUCAUCUGCAAUUACUCACUGUGACGAGUAAAUUAGGGACAAUUUUGUAAAUUGGUAAUUCCCAUAACUUACAACUCAAGAGGACAAGAAAGAAGUGAAUUCGUCGUGAAACACAUUUCCUAGCUUCAUUUGCGUCAGCAUCAUCGUCAUCCACCUCUACCGCAUUUUUCGGCUGGCCGAUUUAGCAGCUAUCAUUAUCCUGAUGAUCAUCGUCAUCCAUCUCGUCGUCCUCAUCCUCAUCCUCACCGUUGUUGAUAUUUAAAACAUUUAAUUACCACCGCGCGCCCAGGUAUAUAAUAUGUCUGUAUUCCGUCCUCAGAUCCAUAAGCAAACAAUCGAAUUUCAAUCAUGAAUAGCGCCGAUCGAACCCAAUACCAAACACAUCUGGUUAAAUCAUCAAAUGAAGGAGUUUCGCACAGAAAAUAAAUCUUGUAGCUCGGCGUCGGCGACCGAUUCAUUUGUGAUAAAUAACAAUACGGAGUAAGAGGAUAAGGCUAUAGGAUAUUAAACUUCACGAAAGUUUCAAUUAUACCCUUAAAUUCUCAGCCAUUGGAUCUUAAUUGUUUCUAUUAAUGGCAUGAGACCUAGUUUUAUGGAUUAAUGUUCAAAUUCUCUCCCGGAUACCAAAUGGAUAAUGUUUAUGGGUAAUUAUAAAAAGAUAAACAUCUCUUUCAAUUUUUUUUGCCCUUAAUCAUUGAGACUUUCCAAUACAUUUUGCCAGAUUCAUCGUGAAACACAUUUCCUAGCUUAUGCCAUAUUAUCACCUACUCGUUUGUCGAGCAAUAAUGAUGGCAAUGACAUCGACUUCUGAAAAAGAUAACAUAAAUAAGUAACAAUUACAUUUUUUUAUCAUUGUUGAAUGUGAAAAAUAAGUUGCAAUUCAUAUUUAGAUUGUUUGCCGUUUAAUUAAUAGAUCCCCUAUUUUUUGACAAGUUUAGCUUUUGAUUUCUCCUAGAUAUCGGCAGUAAUAAAUGGUAGGGUCUCCGGUAGUGUAUCAACUAUCCACACAGAUCUUUUCCAAAACAAUCAACCAACGAAACAACAAUAGGACAUCCAAGAAUGAUCAAAAUACGAAAAAAAUAAAUACAAGCGACACACCAUUUUUAUGUGCAAAACCUUUUCAGGGUGAAGAGAAAAAUCACAGGACUUGUGAGAAAUCCACCCUUUCCUUUUAUUAUUAUGCUGAAAAUUGAGGAAAAAAGAACCAACAUCAAGGAUACAAAGGUUCACCAUACACCAACACUUCUAUAUAUAAGAGAGCAACAGCGAAGAUAGCACUAGAGAAGAAUUUCACCCAAAAACAAAUUUUGUUCACCAACUUCCAGCAGAGAUUCCCAACGAACCAGACCUCGAAAAGACCAUCCCAACGGUCAUAAUCUAUCCCGACGAGCUACGAACAUGCUGACAAAAUUUGAGAAGAAUCGGACUUCAUUUGCUCAACGAAAAGUCGACGAAUCUGAACUGCCCUGCUAAGUGACAAAAAAUCUGCACUUUUUCUCCUCCUCUCUUUUUUCUUAUCUCUUCCAAUUUCAGAUUGUGUCUCUAAUGGAAUUCUCUCUCUUGACUCCUUAGUUCAGCCACAAACUUUACACACUAAGUGGGCUUCAAGAGAGGCAAACAUAAGACCCAAUUUUGGACAACUGUGGGCUGGAUCCUAACAAUCCUCCCCGCCAGCCUAUUACAGGGAAGACGCAAACACCUCGACGAUUACUUGAACCUAAUCCCGGCAAGCUUGCUGCAUAGCUCAACUUGCUUCCGGGGACAACCUCAUCCCGGCAAGCUUGCUGCAUAGCUUAACACAUUAACACAAUUCUUGUCGGUGUGAACCUUCUUCAGCUUCAUCAUGUUCUCUUCAAUCACAUCUCGGAACCAAUGAUAUCUAACAUCAAUAUGAUUGGUGCGGGCAUGGUACAUAGUAUUCCUGCUCAAAUCUAUUGCACUUUCACUAUAACAGAACUCUACAAACUCACUUUGCUUAACCCAACUCUUGAAGGAAUCUCUUAAGUCACGACUUCUCCUUUCCUGCUUCCACAACUGCGAUAGACACUACCUCGGUAGUCGACAGUGCUACACAUUUUGUAGCUUGAAUUGCCAUGAAAUGGCUCCCCGUGAAUAUGUAAACACAUAACCCGAGGUAGACUUUUUACUAUCAAGAUCAGUUGUCAUAUCUGCAUCAGUAUAGCCUUCAAGUAUAGGUUUCCCACCUCCAUAGCAUAAGCACAGUUUGGAGGUACCUCGCAAGUAUCUGAAUAUCCACUUCAUCGCCUCCCAAUGAGCCUUACCUGGAUUAGAUAAGAACCUGCUCACUAAACCAACUACAUGUGUAAUAUCAGGACGAGUACACACUAUAGCAUACAUUAAGAAACCAACAUCAGAAGAAUAAGGUAUAGAUGACAUUGCUUUUUUCUCCUUCUCUGUUGCAGGAUAAACUUUAUUAAUUACCUUGAAAUGAGUAGCUUGUACUUACAUACUUAGCAUUUUUAUAUUGAACCUGUCAAACACCUGUUGAAUGUAUUUCUCUUGGGAUAACCAUAGUUUUCUAGCUUUCCUGUCACGAGCAAUCUCCAUGCCUAAGAUUUGCUUUGCAGGACCCAAGUAUUUCAUGUCAAAUGACUUGGAUAAGUCUUUCUUCAAAUUCUGAAUCAUAGCUGCAUCUUACCCAACUAUCAACAUAUCAUCUAUAUACAAGAGAAGGAUGAUGAUGUUACCUCCAGUCAACUUUCUAAAAUACACACAAGGAUCUGUUGUAGUUCGUUUAUAACCAUUGCUUGUAAUAAACGAAUCAAACUUCCGAUACCACUACCUUUAGUCCAUAAAGACUCUUCUUCAGCUUACAAACAAGUUCACCUUUUCCUUUUUCUUCAAAACCUUUAAGCUGUUCUAUGUAGAUCUCGUCAUGCAAGUCUUCGUGUAAAAAAGCUGUUUUUACAUCAAACUGCUCCAACUCAAGAUCAAGAUUUACAGCUAAACUCAACACUGUUUUGAUAGAUGUCAUCUUCACCAUCGGGGAAAAGAUCUCAUCAAAAUCAAUUCCUUUCUUUCGGUUGGAUCCCUUCACCACUAGUCUGGAUUUUCUCUUUAUUAUCUUCUCAUCAUCAUUCUUGUUCUUAAAAACCCAUCAAUUUUUAAUAUUUUACUGCUUUAGGGAUGCUUCACUAGCUCAUAGAUUUUUUUUCAAAGAACCCAUUUCCUCCGUUAUUACAUCACACCAUUGGUCUUUGUCAUCAUGACACAGAAUCUCUUGAUAGUUUGUUGUCUCUCCAUCUUAAUAACCAAACUGAACUUUGAGGUUGGAUACUUUGUUGAAGGUAUACGCUCUCUAGUUCACCUUCAAACUUGUAUAUCCUCCGCUUGAGGAAUACAUUGCUCCCCUGCUCAUGAAUCUCUUCAUGGAUAUCUUCCUUAAGUACAUCUUUCUCCUGAAUUUCCUCAUCAGAAGAUCCAUCAAGAUCAUGAUCAUCUGCAGUUGAUAUAUCACUAUCAUAUUGCACCUCACCAACAUCAUCAACUGCAUCCUCAACAUACUCAUUUGAUGGCUGAAAAGUAAAACAAGGAACAUUAACAAUAUCAAUAGGUAAUUUAGAAGUAGAUGUGUACCUCGUACUAAGAAGGUCUGCACCCUUCUCGUGCUCAAAGAAUACAACAUUCCUACUUGUGACAACCUUCUAAUUUUUUGGAUCAUGGAGUCUGAAACCAUAUUCUUCAUCUCCAUAGCCAACAAAUACACAUGGAAUCAUCUUCAAAUCAAGCUUCGAUCUUUCCUCUUUUGGCACAUGCAUGUAUGCCUUGUUGCCAAAGACACUCAAAUGCGAAUAAGUGGGAUCAUGCCCCUUUCAUGCUCUAUCCGGAAUGCUAAGACCAAGAAGGAUUAAUGGAGUUCGAUUAAUCAAAUAUACAACACACCACACCGCUUCAGCCUAAAAUGUCUUAGGAAGAUCAGACAUUCUAAGCAUACGUCUCACUUUCUCUAUAAUGGUUAUAUUCAUCCUUUCUUCAACUCUAUUGUGUUGUGGUGUGCUAGGUUCGGUUGUUUCAUGCCUAACUUCAUGGUGUGAGCAAUAGUUCCUAAACUCAUGGGAAGUAUACUCACCAACAUUAUCAGAAUGAAGACACUUCAAUUUUGCAUCGGUCUUCCUUUCAACCAUGACAUGAAAGUUCCUGAAAAUCUCAAAAACUUAUCUUUUUAUCAUCAUCAUGUACACCUAAAUUUUUCGAGUAGCAUCAUCAAUAAAGGUAGCGAAGUACCAUUGCCACCAAGAGACUCUAUCUCAAUCGGACCAUAAACAUCAGAAUGAACCAACUCCAACUUGCCUUGCUUUUUAGUAGACUUCCCACAAAAGGAAGCUCUAUGUUACUUUCCUGCCAAACAGUGAUCACAAGGGUCAAUGAAAACCGAUUUAUCAAUAGGGAUAAGAGAUUUACCUGCUAAUAGUUUGAUCCUUUUGUCACUCAUAUGUCCCAACCUUUGAUGCCACAAGUUUGGAGAGUUCUUUUCUUCAACUAAAUUCACGUCACCAUAACAUACAUCAAAGUAUGUCUUAUACAAAGUGUAACACAACUCACCACGAGCAACUGUCAAUGAAACCUUAAGACAAUUUUCACUUGCCAUCACCAAAUGUGUGUCAAAAGCCUUCUUGAUCAAGAACAUUUCCGGACAGCAAAUUAAGACGCAAAUCAGGUAUAUGACGCACAUUCUUCAAAGUAAGAAUGCAUCCAAUACCUUUCUUCACACGGAUAUUACCUAAUCCAAUAAUUCCAACUGAACUCUGAUUUCCCAUCUUCACUCUGCCAAAAUCAUCAGAUUGGUAGUUUAAGAAGUACUCUCUUUUAGGAACACAACAUAAUGAAGCUCCCGAAUCUACUAACCAUUCAGUGUCUAAGCAUUCCACAUGAUGACACUCACGAGAUGCACAAAUCAAAGUGACUCCAUCAUCACUCUUAGAGGUGGUUGCUGCAGUAUUUUUAUCAUCACCAUCCUUUUGAGAAUCUUGCCUCUUACAUCACUCUUAGAGGUGGUUGCUGCAGUAUUUUUAUCAUCACCAUCCUUUUGAGAAUCUUGCCUCUUACAUCACUCUUAGAGGUGGUUGCUGCAGUAUUUUUAUCAUCACCAUCCUUUUGAGAAUCUUGCCUCUUACAUCACUCUUAGAGGUGGUUGCUGCAGUAUUUUUAUCAUCACCAUCCUUUUGAGAAUCUUGCCUCUUACAUCACUCUUAGAGGUGGUUGCUGCAGUAUUUUUAUCAUCACCAUCCUUUUGAGAAUCUUGCCUCUUACAUCACUCUUAGAGGUGGUUGCUGCAGUAUUUUUAUCAUCACCAUCCUUUUGAGAAUCUUGCCUCUUACAUCACUCUUAGAGGUGGUUGCUGCAGUAUUUUUAUCAUCACCAUCCUUUUGAGAAUCUUGCCUCUUACAUCACUCUUAGAGGUGGUUGCUGCAGUAUUUUUAUCAUCACCAUCCUUUUGAGAAUCUUGCCUCUUACAUCACUCUUAGAGGUGGUUGCUGCAGUAUUUUUAUCAUCACCAUCCUUUUGAGAAUCUUGCCUCUUACCUUGCUCUUUUUUUGGGUGUAACAAAACCUCUGAAUAUGACCUGGCUAAUUACAAUAAAAACAAGUCUUAGUCUCUUUCUUUUAUCUCUAGACUUUGACCUUCCUUUUGACCUAUCAUAAACUUUUGGACCCCAACUCCUGCUUCCUCCUCGAUUCUCCAUAACAAGAACAUGUGAAUUAUCAACUCACAUCUUCUUUCUUCAUUAAACAUGUUAUUUUUUAUCACAUCCAAAAAAAGAACACCUUUUGGAGUUAAAUUACUCACGGUUACCACCAAGGUCUCCCACCUAUCAAGCAAAGAGCUCAAUAAGAACAAAGCCUGCAAUUCAUCAUCAAGAGCAAUCUUCAUAGUAGUAAGUUUGUUAACGAUAUUCUUAAUAUCAUUCAAGUGCUCAGAAACUGAUUUUUCACAUUUCAACUUUAAAUUAACAAGCUUCUUUAUCAAUGAAGUUUUGUUGUGUGUCGUCUUUCUUUCAUAAAGACCUUUUAAAGUUUCUUCCACAACUCAAAUGGGUCGGACUCUUAAGACACAUGGUUGAAAAUGCUGAGAACAACCCAUUGUCUAAUAGUCCCCAAAGUUUUUCUCUUUAUCUUUUCUCAUUCAUUUGNUCCAUCUUCUCAAAAUUUUGUGGUUUUGUAUCUGUAGCCAAUUCAAUUGGAUAGUAUAAGUCUUUAUAAUACAACAAGUCCUCCAUCAUCGAUCUCCAUAUUGAAUAGUUGGUUGAUGUCAACUUCAUUAUUGAGCUGCCACCACUACUACUAGCGGAAUCCAUAUUGAUGGAAAACUCCAACCAACGCUCUGAUACUAACUGAUAGGGUCCCCGGUAGUGUAUCAACUACCCACAUGGAUAUGUUCCAAAAUAAUAAUGAUUUUUUACAACAAUAGGACAACUAAGAAUGAUCAAAAUGCAAAAGAAACAAAUGCAAGCGACACACAAUUUUUACGUGGGAAACCUCUUUUGUGUAAAGAGUAAAAACCACAUGACUUGUGAGGAGUCCACCUUUACCUUCUCUUAUUAUGCUGAAAUUAAAGGCAAAAUAACCCAAAUUAAGGAUACAAAGGUUAACCACCUACCAACACUUCCAUACAUAAGAGAGCAAUAAAGACGAUAGCACUAGGGAAGAAUUUCACUUAGAAACAGAUUAUGUCUACCAUCUUCCAGAAGAGAUUCCCGACUAACCUGACUUCGAAACGACGAUCCCAACGAUCAUAAUGUAGCACUACAAACCACGAACAAGCUGACCAAAUUUGAGAAGAAUCAGACUUCGUUUGCUCACCCAAUAGUCGACGAAUCUGGACUCCUCUGCUGAGUGACGAAAAAUCUACACUUUUUCUCCUCCUCUCUUUUUUCUUAUCUCUUCUAAUUUCAAACUGUGUUUUGAAUAAAACUCUCUCACUUGACCUUUUAGUUCAGCCACAAAACACUACACACUAAAUGGGCUUCAAGAGAGGUAAACAUAAGACCAAUUUUGGACCAAUAUGAGCUGGACCCUAACACUAAGACUGACUUAGUCAAUGUCUGUAACAUUCAUUCUGUUUAGAUUUCCCUUAUUUCUAUUCACCUGUAUCCCACGAUCACUCCAUGAUAUCUGUAUCACCUGUAUGAAUACUUGAGUACUAAUAACAUUAGAACUAUUCUUCUGAAUUCAUUCAUAGUAUCAGAGCCUUCUAGCCUAACAACAAUCAAUUUUAUUUCUUUUCUUUCUUCUUUUUUCGGAGUCAUGAUGAGCACAUCAACUACCCCUCCUCCACUACAUAUGCCACAAUUUUUUCAACCUCUUCGUCCAUCAAUAGCACUCCUCCUCCUCCCCCUCAUAUCCCUGUCAAAUUUACCCCCACGAAUUACAUUUUCUGGAAACAACAACUUCUUCCUCUCCUCAUCAGCUUUGACCUUGCAAAACAUGUGGAUGGCUCUUCUCUUGCACUGGCCCGUCAGAUCACAGGCGCCCCGAAUCCGGUCUAUGAUACUUGGUACCGUCGCUACCAGCUCAUUUUUUCCUGGAUUGUCAUGUCGCUCACGGAUUUGGUUCUCUCCAAACUGGUGGGCAGCACCUCUGCCCUAGAUGCCUGGACUCGUUUGGAGGCAGCUUAUGGCUCCGACAAUCGUCAUAGCAUCCGUAAUCUCAACGAUCACUUUCAAACUGUCUCAUGGUGUCGAUUUAGUUGAUAAAUUCCUCACUCGUGCCAAGGAUAUCACAGAUUAACUUGCUUCUCUCAAUCAUCCCGCCUCAGAUGAUGAUCUCAUCGAUUGUUGUCUCAAGGGUCUUGGCAAGUCGUUUCUUCCAUUUUCUCGUGUGAUUGCUGCUGAUCCGGAUGUCAUUUCCUUUGACGACUUCCAUGAGUCUCUUCGGUGCGGCACCUCUUGCUCAUUACAGCAGAUCUGGUGGCGAUGGCGAGCGUGGUCGCUUCCUUUCUCGACAAUAUGCUCAUGGCAGAGGCAGACGUAUGUUUUUUCCUUCAUCACCAAUUGAUGGUUUCACUUCUUCUUCUGGACUAGGUUAUAGCGCAUGUUUACUUGGCCUCGACCUACUCCAUGACAGUAUGCUGACUCAGUCACCUCGCAAAACACUGUCCUACACCUCCCCAUCCUGGCCACUAUCCUCUCUCUUCUUAUCUUGCCUCUUUCACAUCCUCUCAAGAUUGGCUUUUGGACUCUUGGAGUAACUACCAUUUGACCUCUGACCUUCAAAAUAUGGCUCUUCACUCUCAAUAUCACGACUUGAAUGAGGUCACUUUCGGCAAUGGUAACACUCAUCCCAUCUCCCACUCUGGUUCUUCGUUAGCUUCUGUCUACUCCCAUCCUCUUCAUCUAUCUCGCAUUCUUCGUGUCCCCUCUACUACUUUCAAUUUACUGUCUAUUAAUGUCCUCACUAGAUCUAAUCCUUUUUUUUCAAUUUGUUGAUGAUCUUUUUCUUCUCAAGGACACCCGCACUCAAUAGAUCCUCCAUCGCGGUCAGAGCCAUGACGACCUCUACUCCAUUCCUCUUUCUAUUCUUCCAUCGUUUCCCCGUCAAGCUCAUCACACUAUUCUCUCCCACUGGCAUCAACGUGUCGGUAAUCCACAUUCAUGCAUCCUUCAUCAAAUUCUCUCUUCAUGGUUGUAGUGUUCCCAAAAUUGAGCAAUUGAGAAAAUGUCGCGAAUGUUUUAAAGAAAGCGACUUAGUCCGGAACUCAGCCAGAUCAACAAUUCGAUUUCUAACACUUCCGGUGUCUGGUUCUUGAUGGAGAACAAAUUGAAAUAAAACUCAAACGUAGUAGAUGAAUGACCUUCACGAUAGCAUCCUCAUAUGGACGCCCCUUCGAAUAUGGAUGUUCCAUAUUCCAAUUCACAUCUCCGCCACAACCCUCUUUCUGCUAUGUGGUCAGAUCAUUAUUAAUAAUGGUGAUGUUCAGUUUGCUCUGCAUCGGUUUGAUUUGACCCGAAUGAAUAUGAGUUGUAUUUUUAAAUGAAAUAUCCAAAAAAUGGAAGUCAAUGUAGCCUAUAACACACACUCUCGUAGUAACCCAAUGAAAAAAUAUAUAACGCUUGGUGGUGCUUUUCUUUGAUAUGUAUAGGGCCAGAAUUUAUAUUGAUAUCCAUAACCUGCUCAACUACAAUCUCAUUAUUUAUUGAAUGGAAACAAACCACACCCACUAUUAAUUAUAAUGACACGUACAGUCAAUGAAAAUUAAUGUAUGCAUGUGCUAUUCAGUAUUCACAUCGGUCGUGACCUUAUCUUGUACAAUUGUGACAUUUACUUGGGGAGAAGAGUGGAUUCCAACCCACAACGUCAUGAAUCAAUGAAUGAUGUUGCAUAUAGAUAAUACUUGACUAUUUGUGUUUAUUUAACUGAAUUGCUAUAUAUCGUCCUAAAAUUUAAAAUCGGGACAUAAAAUUACGUAAAUGUCCGUGUUAACUGCCUUUUUAAACUCACUCAAUCAAUGCAUGUGCAAUUCCCCUCCAUCAAUCACAUUUCACUAUUGCAUAGCAGCCACCCAUCGCCGUCGUCGCUAAUUUCCAAAAAAUUCCACCAUGGAAGUUCUCAUCACCAGCCUUGCCCCAUCGCCGCUGCCAGUAAAAGGUUAGAAGUAGGAUUUUUAAAAAUCUGACCAGCGCGAAAAAGCUCGCUGAUAACAACACCGUUGACGCCAACAACAUGAUUUCAUGAAGAAGUACCGAUGCCAAUAAUAGGCGCCACUAUCAACUAAUGUGGCGCAUGCCAUCUAAUGGCGUUGGUCCAGGUGUAGUGAACUCAUUGUGAUGGUGUCGACGUUGUUGUUACCGACAUCAUUUUGGGGUGCCAAUCCAUUUAAUUAAUUAUUUUAAUUCUAUUUUAUGUAAUCGCUAAUUACACUUGCUAAUAAUUUGUUGAAAUUAAUAUUAUUAAUAAUGUGUCUAAUUAUUGCAGUUGAGGGUUCGUAAAAUUAUUGUUCAUGAUCUAAGCAAAGUGUAGUGAAAAACCAUACGGUACGGUCUCGUUCCUGUAAAAAUAAAAUAGCCGCACAUGUUAUCCCGACGGAUAGGUGUAAUGAUUUGCAUUUGGUGAACAAACAAUUUGAACAUAGUAGACCGACUGAUAGGUUUUGUUAUACUAUGUGUAGGGAAGUUUUGUUGAUGGCUAUGAAAAUACUAAUGUAGAAGAUGAUGAUGUUGAAGGAUUGAUGGAUUAUACUCAUUUUUCAUAACGGGAGUGUUGUAUGAUACAGUUCGUGCCGCGAGUUCUGGGGCAAAGGACAUUGCCCUAGACUAACGAUUCCAAUUGAGUCGGGGAUUAAACAAGAAGAACCCCGAUGAAGUAAAAAACGAUUGUUCAUGGAUUGCAAGCAUGGUGGUAGGAGAAAAUCACAGUCGACUGCAUCGUCUGAAAGUUCUACACGCACAAUAACAACCUCAAAGUCGAAUUGUAGGAUCAAAUUGUGUAUUAGGCCUAAACUCGUAGGAGUUACUUGGAAAUGGGUGAUUGACACUGUUGAAGAGGGUGAAGAACCUGGGACGUUUAGGUCAUUAUAUUCGACAACCACAUGUUCGAGUUAUGGUGUGAAGGAACUCAGCAACAAAAUCAGCUUAGAGACAAGAUGAAAGGGCAUAUUAGACAGUUGGAGAAAAACCAUGUGCCCCCGAGACAGAUGCAGAGCAUAAUUAAAGUACGUAUGAUAGUAUGAUCAAUAUUAAAAAGAUUUACAAUGAGACAGCAAAGAUACGGCUAGUGAGAUUGGCCGGCAUGAACCCUAUGCAGUGGACAUUGAAAGAAGAAAGAAAACUAAAGUACUUCACUAAGUAUCUCAUGGAUUUAGAAAAAGGUGUUACUCGCCUCUUCAAUUCACACGCGGAGUCAAUUCGGAUGUUGCACGCCUGGUAUUUUGUUCUCCUGAUUGACUCCACGUACAAGACGAACUUAUAUAAGAAGGCAUUGGUUCAGUUUUUUUGGUGUGACACCGGUUAGGAAGAACUUCAACAUUGGGUUGGCCCUUGUGGAAGAUAAAACGGAGGAGUCUUCCACUUCGGUUCUGAGUCAAUUGCGGUUUGUUCUUGAUGGUGUGUUCCAAAUGUCUUUGUUACUGAUAAAGAGAGAGGAUUGGGGGUUAAACUGAAAGAGAUAUCCCCUUCUUUGGCACAUUUGCUCUGCGUUUGGCACAUGAAGAGGAACAUUGAAGCAAAUAUAACCAAGUUUUAUGACAGAGAUACAACCGAGUCUUUCAUAGCAGGCCCGUGGGGAAAAGUGUUGAAUGCUAGAACAAGCCAAAUGUGUUUUGCCAAAUGGCAUGAUUUAGUAAACAGUGGCUGGAAUUCAAAGCUCAUAGAGUACUUGACAUCGGCAUGGAUACCUUAUAAGCGUAAGUGGGCUCGUUGUGACAUGAAUAAGGUAUUCCAUCUCGAUAACAUAAGCACACAUAGGGUGGAAUAGGCUUACUCGUCCUUGAAGACGUGGCUGCAUAAUUCGGUGAAUAAAGUUGACGGAUUUUUUCAUGCAUACCAUCGACUAAUGGUGGGUUAAGUGUUGGAGAUCAGGAAAGUUUUAAAGGACUCAUGUCAUAAGGUAGUUUCUUUCAAUUUAACUUUGAUAAUUUGUCACAACAUGUUUACUAACGUAAUUUGUUGCUUACAGACGUUUACCAUUUGGGAGCAACCUACGAGAUGUUGAACAGGUAGGUCAGCUUAUGGGUGAUUCAGUUGUUGGUUGAAGAUCACAAAUUGGUGAUGUCAUGUACGUAUGUGUUGCGGACUACUUAGCGGCUGCCUUGCAGAUGUGAAGUGUGGUGCUUUAUAGAGGAGGGCAAGUUGCUACACAGACGACACUUACAUUGCUUUUGGUCUUUGUUGGACUACGCGAAUCCCCAUGGCGGUAUAGAGUGGCAAGAUGACGCCCUUGCUGAGCAAAACAUUUGGCGUAGAACGGUGGAGGAAGUCGAGAGUUUAGUAGAAGCAGCAGUCCGAUUUUACACUUGACUAAUUCACUCUUAGCUACAUCCCGAGGCCUAGGUGUUCAUGAUCUAAAGCCAUCUAAUGUUCCAAAAGGUAGACCUCGUAGACAUCAUAAUGCAAGGGACCCAUCAUGGUGGGAGAACGUGAAAUCUACAGCAUCAUAGAGAGAGAAAACAGGUAUUUCUACAUUUGUACUAGUUAUUUCAGCAUUUGUAACUAGUUAUUUCUACACUUUGAACUAGUUAUUCAUGCACGUGUAACUAGUUAUUUCUGCACGUUUAUUCUUUCGUAACUGGUUUUAAUUAGUUAUUUCUCAUUCCACAGGUGGCACCCUGUCCGUUACCUGAAAACCAAGUUUCGAAUAUAAGGACUACAUCUAGAGAGUGUUAAACCACUACUUUCAAUGUGGUUUGACCCCGAGCCAGACGGAAACUAUGGAUUUCACAUACUAGCAGAAAUUUUUUACGGCGACUAGGAGAAGUACAUAUAGAUAUAGUCAGAUCUUUGGGAUGAAGUGUCAUCGGGGUGGUAUUAUGGGUACUGGGAGGUGUACGCAAUUAGCCUGCAGGAAGACGAUAAAGUAAAAUGAAGAUUGAAGAGCAAUCCGGGACCGUGCAGACCUGAGUACUGGAAGUGUGAUGCCAAUCUGAUUAAAUUUACAACCAUGAACAAGUGGGCUAUUGUGGUAAACGCAUCCAGUGGCCCGCCCAUUAGCAAGAACACAUUUGGGGCUACGUACUUACCGAUAUCUUAUAUUUCGGACAUCAGGAGUCCUUAGAUUGUUCUAGGACUAAUUUUCACCUUAAACCAUUGGCAUCAUAUCCAGUUGGAGGAGGAUAAUGGUGUGAGACCAAUGCCACCAUUCCAUAUAGUGUGGAAAAUAAUAAAUGAUAAUACUCGAAUAGCUUUAUGGAGUGACAUGUAUAAGAAUGAAAUUGCUUUGUUUUUUUUCACGUGGUGGGCAUCAUCCGAACAAUGAGGUUGAUGUCGCAGAUGAUUAAAAUGGUUGUAACUCUUUGAUCUAUCUCCAAUCGUCGAUGAACUCUUGCUUUAAUCGCUCUCUAGAACUCUUUGUCCCUCUAAAAGCUUGAAAAUAUGUCUUGAAUAAUCUAUAUUUCGACAAAAGGGGCCUCCGGGGUAUGUAUAUCAUUUUUUCCAAAUCCAGGAAUGAUUGGGCUGAAAACAACCCUCUGAAGAUAACACACAGCUUGUGUUAACAAUACACGGUGUGUGUUGCUAACACAAGGCAUGUGUUGAGAACACACGACCGUGUGUUAUGAAGCAGCAUUCUCGGUUGGCCUAACACACAACCAUAUAUUGUUAAUACACAGCGUGUGUUGACAAUACAUGAUUGUGUGUUAUAAGGCAUCCUUCUUGGUUAGCCCUAACACAUGACGUGUGUUGCUAUUACACGACGUGUGUUGCUAUUACAUCACAUGUGUUUCAUAAUAUCAUCAGAAAUAUGGAUGUCUAAUACAUAAAUAUGUCUCAUACAUGCACAAUAAUCGGAGAAGUACCGAAAAUAUCAAAUAAACAUAUAAUAUAUAGUACAACGCAUGACGUGAAAGAACAAAUAAAGUACAUAAAAUACUUCUCUACGACUCAUACUCAUUUUCCAACCCUCGCAUGCUCUCGAUGAUGUGGUAAUACUCUCAACCUCGAUCGACAAAUCCAUCCUCCGACCCGGCUCCUAAUAGGGGGGGGGGCAAAUUGGUGAACAUAAUAGUAAAAAAACCCGUUGGGGUGCCUGCAUAUUGAGUAAAUAAACAGAAAUCAAUAACACAUCAGUUGCACAACAAUAUAAUGGAAACCAACCAAAAAUAGAUACGGUAUGAAACAUCAGGGCAUAUGGCUCAUCUGCGCGAGUGGGAACGAUGACUAGGUAUGUACGGCCGAGGUACCACUAGAUGCACUCAGGAUCGGCGUAACCGUCAAUAACUCUAGGUAUAUAGGGAGUGCUGAACCGCGGUAAGUACGUCAACCAGAGGUGCUGAUUGUAGUGAAUGUGUGAGUGCAUAUUGUCUCCCAUCCAUAGGCCUCCAUGUUAGCGUUAGAGUAAUAUCUGGUAACGUCUGUCGGUACCCAUACUAUCGAGGACACGAGUGGGAUCAUGCGGUCCAUAUAGCGAAAUACGUGUAUACCUUCACCAUAUAAGGACCACUUCGCUUCACCGUCGAACUGGUAGACCGAAAGGAAGCCACUCGAUAUGUCUGUGUGUCAUCCCAUUCAGAUGCCUAUGGAGCAUCUGCAACCUCUCAUCAACAUCCUAUGCUCUGGAAAUGAUACUAGGUCCAUCCCACCUCCCCGUAAGGGACUGGCUGCUCAAUCGUGGUGUAGGGGAUGUAGUAUGACACAAGCAUGAAUAGUAAUCGUAGAUCCAUGACUGUAGCAAAGUUAGGCAGCGACCUACUAAUGUAGAACUUGCCCGAGAGGCAAGCCCGAGCGCCGGUAUGAAUAGGCAAGUGUAACUGACCGCCAACUGUACGUCCUGAUCGUCUGCACAUUUCGUAAACCCUCAAAGAUCCCAAUAUGACCAUGAUUACCACUAUGGUCCACAAAAAUGAUGGAGCCUAGUAUCUCCAUCAAGAAGCAGAUGGUCGUACCCGCAUCAUUAAGAUUAUCGGUCUCCGCAGCUGCGAGUAACAUAUCUAGAUGAAACCAACCUGAUGCAUAGUAUUUCUCAUUCAGCUCCUGCUCAAAAGAUUACGCAUGGAUGCAACCAGCGCCACAUAAUGGACAUCGCCCUCUGAAGUAAGCUGGAUGCCCUGAAUAGGAAUAUGGAAUAAGUACAAAACAUCGUGCAACGUAAUUGUCAUCUCACAAACAACAUGUGAAAGGUGUUGGUGCUUGGCUGCCAUCUCUCAACAAAUGCCUACGGUGGAGGAAUAUCCAGUUUGGACGACAUAAUGGAACCAAGGUGUGAUAAUCCGGUGGCUUCCACUAACUCCCGAGCCCUAGCGCUGCUCCAAGGGAACUUCUCCAGCUUGCUCAGCCUCUGUUUGCGGUGCGGAUCCUGAAUUUUCAUGACAAUCUCGACUCUAAAUCGCUUGUCCAGAUGCGGUUGGCUACGUGACUACCAAAACUAGGGAUCAUAUUCGGUAUCUGUGCCCGCUAGGUGCCAACCCAAUGACGAGCAGAUUUUACCCCGCCAAUCAAAUACCCACUAGAUUGCUCCAAUGGAGUCGUAUUUCCCUCGGGCCUUACUAAUGCUAUUACUCAAAUUGAUUAAGCUAACUAAACCAAGUAACAGUGAAUGAUUGUUUGAUCAAUUGCUUUCGUCACCGAUUAUCAAAUAAGAAUGCAAAACAAAAGAAAGCAAAUGCAAGAGAUUGAGUUUCAAAUAUAGAAUGAAGGUUGUUCGAAUUCGAAUCCACUAAACUAGCAAUGCAUGGAUGAACAAUUUGCAAUCUCGAUUCAGGUUAUAACGGUUUAGUGAUUUCCUAUGAUAGUCUUAGAUCACUCACGUGCCUCUAAGAAUCUAUUUUGCUCGAUCGUAGACUCUUCUCUUGAGCUAAUCUACACCCAAGCAUAAUGCACUAAAGGUGUUUGAUGAAAUGCCACAACGAUAAACGAUGGAAAAAGGCUAAACGAUCCGUUCCUCUCUUGAGCUAACGGAUAAUCUAGAGUUCUUCCUAAGGGACCUAUUAAUCUAUAUUCCUUUCAGGCCCAUAAAUCAAUAACUACAAUUCAAUUAAGGCGGUCAAACGAAAUUGAAUUAGAAAUUAAGUUUAGCAAGAACACUUCAUAAGUCUGAAUAACCUCGAUAACAAAUUAAAAGAUUAAAAGCCCAUCAUCCAUACAAAAUCCAAGCUAAAGUUUCAUGUAAUCCAAACAACAAAAAAGGUUUAGCCGCUCAUUGUUUCAUAAAAUAAAUCACAAGAGAAGAAAACAAAAACCGGAGAAGAUGAUACGUGCUUCGUGGAAACCCCAAUCUUCAACUUGACGAUUCGCCCUUCGCCAAUUGUGGUUGAUCCUCUCACUUCAAUCGUCUCUCUGGAACUCUAGCUUUCUCUAAGAGCUCAAAAUAUGUGUAUAAUAAAGUUGGAUGAUGUCUAUUGAUGUCCCAACGGUUUAUAUAGACUUCUAGACCAAGUUGGAGAAGGAAAAGGCCAAAACAUCUGGUAAGAUGAUGUCUAUCGACGGCCGCGUGUUAUGCUUCCCGUAGUUGCUGCUCGCUAACACACGCCAUGUGUUAAAAUACACAGAUUUUGCUCUCUCCAACAACAUCAAAGUUGUAGGCCAUGGAAUUAUGUUUCCAAAACUCCUGACCUUGCAUCAAUCGGACUUCCAAGCAAUGCGUUAUGCCUAAAAUACUAAACUGCAACAUUUUCAUCCCAAGUCGAACGUACUGAGUUGUUCCAGCCUCUCCGAUAUGCCUUGAUUCAUCCCGAGAUGUAAUAUGACACCUGGAAUGUACAAAAAAUAUACAAAGCAAUGUCACACGGACCAAGGAGCCAAGGGGGACCAAAUAUGCACUAAACGUCAUGAAUCCAAACAUGUUAAGGCAUCCAAAUGUCCAAAAUUGUCAAUUAAAGACGGAACAAAUGGGAUAAUAAUUGGGCACAUCAUCCAGUAAGCCUCCACUCCUUGCCAGUGCUUGACUGGACCCCUAUAAAACGACAAGCUCUGCCACCUCUAGAGCCCAUAGUGGAAGAACCCCGAGAUGACCUACUAUCUGCUACCAGUGUACCGCCCCUCCCCUCCCAACUAGUUUCUUCCGCUAGCGUGUACUUGCAAGUAAUAGUGGAUGAAAUGUAGCAUCAUGAUCAUCGUUGAUAUGAGCUGAAACUCCUACUGAGACGAACAGGACAAUCUAUAAACUUCGGUUUCAAAAAAACUAACUAAAAUCCAAUAACCGGAUGGAAAGUUACUUAGCCGGCCAAUCAACUCAAGUUCAAAGCGAGGUCCAUGUCUCAAACGUGAAUGGUGCCACGAAGAAGCGAUGAUUGGCAGACUACGAUAUACGAGAAUCCUCUAUCCUAGCAACGGCGUGCUAUGAACAAGAAGAAUUUGAAAAAUAGCUCCAGGUCGAAAUUUACUUAAAACUUUAUAUAGGAGAGGUAGGCCACGAAAUUAGAAGGAAAUUAAGAAGGAGCCCUUGCCUUGCAAGGCAAGUAAUCCUUCUUCCUUAAGGAACACAUCUUGACUAGGUCAACCCUUACUCCUCAAAGAUAGAACUCGGCCAAAGAGCUCUUCAAGAGGGCUUCUUGGGCCUUAAUUAACAUUAUAACGUCUGAAUAGAAAGCGCAAAGUACUACUAAAACGCGAAUAAAAGAUAGAGGGCCACUUAAGCUCCAAAAUGGGCCUAGUGAGUCGUGCGCUUGGUGGAAGGUUUUAGACCAUGUCUAGGACUUGAACACCUCCAAGGCAGCCUCUUGGAUGUUUUGUAGACUUCUGGGUCGAGUAAAACUGGUCCGAGCUUGAAUGGAUGCAAGAGGCCUCGUUUCAGUGGCACCCACAUCACCGUAGCGAGUCCACUUGAGGCCUUGAGCCCGACUCUUGAUCUGGAUGAUCUGAAAGACUUGGAUGGGCUUCACUAUCUUAAAAAUACUUCUACUCAAGAGAUGGUUCAAGAAAAUUAUCUUUGUUUGAGCUCAGGCUCAAAUCUGCUUGAUAAGGAGAUCCGGGCGGGUGCGAUUUCGAGUGAUUUCGCACCUUUGUAUUCUCUACUGCUCUGAAUGCUCUCAAAGUUGGUGGAGGGUCUUCUUUUAUCAUAAUAUAUCUCUGCUCCAAAUAUAGGCCGAGGAAACUCUGCUCGUUUGCGUGUUCUUGAAGAAUCUUAAUUUUUAACGCGACACCGACAUCGAUGACACUCGUUGGCAUCAGUGCAACUCAUUCGAUCGCCAAUUCUUUGAGGAUGAACUUGUCUUCAUUAAUCCAUGACAGGGACAUCCUUGUUUCCAUCUUCGAUGGUCCUCCUCCAAAUGCUUGCUUUGGCUCCAAGGUUCUUCAAGUUUGGUGACAUUUCCGCUAAUGACUGGUCGAAACCUUGGCAACAUGGAAUAGGGCUGCUGGGUGGGUUUCAUCAAUCGUCCUCAGACUGCUCUCUGUCAAACGGAAUCUGGUGAUUGGCGCUGUCUGAGUCAUCUGGAAUAUCAUCAAUAUCAUAUGCCAUCUCUGCGUCCUAGCUAUCAAAAAAUCUCAUCAACCGUCAACUCUGUCCGAGCAGAAUGCAGAUGGGGUCUACAUAUAUCGAUCCAGGAAUCUGGACUUGCACACUCGACUGACCAACUUCCGCUUUGAUUUCUUUCCCUUUGCUUUUCCCGGUUGCUCUCUUCAAUUUGAGGUAGAAAUUGGACGGUUGUUAAACUGGAGCAACGAAUUGCUACGUGCUCCCAACAUCUUCACCAACUAUAUAUGAAAUUUAAAUCGUAACUACUAAUUAGAAAUGAACACUUGCCAUAAAUUUCACAUUUUAAUAUCCAAUCAACUAAUUAAGUAGUAUAUUCAUUCCGAGAACUACUAAUAAUGACUAAUUACCAAAUACAAAAAUAGUAAUUCCUAAAUAUUAUAUUCAUCUACUUAACUCCUAAUCAUGAUUAAUAACUAAUUUCUAAAUAUUUAUUAACUAAUUACCAAAUAUUCAUUUAUCAAAUAUUUAAUUUAUAUAUAUUUAUGAAUAUUUAAUUACUAAUUCAGAUCACCCUAAUCAAAUUUUAAAUCUAGACAAAUCUAAAUUAAAUAAAUUAUAAUUAUUUAAAAAACAGCAUGGCGCACAGAUUGUGCACCACCAGUAUGUCCAAACCACUUGUAAUGUGCGUCGGCGACAACAACGGCGCCGGUUAAUAGAUCCGGCGACCAAUAAUGGUGCCGACGUUAUGGUGACUGGUGAACGUAAGUGGCGCUGGCGAUGGUUGUUUUGGCGCAUUAAAAUGGCGCCGCUUGUAUUUUUUUCAAUUCUCUAACCUAGAUUUGAGGCAGCGUUGCGGAGCUGAGGCGGCGACGGCGGCGGAUCUGAGGCGGCGGUGGCGGAUACAGGACUGCGGCGGCGGAUCUGUGGUAGCGGCAGCGGAUACACGGCAAUGGAUCUGAGGCAUCAGCGACAUUGUAUCUGGGGUGGCAUCGAUAAAUUUGGGGCAGCGGCGGAUCUGGGGCUACGUCGGAGAUUGGGGGCGGUGGCGGCUACCCUGUGGUGGCGAUGGCGGUUCAACCUUGCCGGAGAAGGAGAUGGAGGUGAGUGUGUGGGUUUCCAGUUAGGUUAUGAAUUUGUUUAUGAUUAUAUCGUAUUUAUAUUUAAAUAUUAGACUCGAAGAGCAUUCAUAACCAUACAUAUCAAAUUGAAAUGCGAGGACGAUUUUUUCCACGAUCCAGAGUGUUUUUUAGCCAUCCCCUUAUUUAAAAAAUAUAUUUUCCCGACAAUGAUCAAAAUCCUUUUUGUUUAAUGUCAAGAUCUAAAUCUGCUAACACAUAUCCGUCUCACUUAAACUGUCUUCUUGCAAAUAAUUCAAGCCUAUGAUCAGCAACCAUUUUGCAUUUUCACGUGGGAUAUUAUUAUGCCAGAAAAAAAUUGGGAUCAGAAACAAUUGGGAUCCGGUCCUGGAGGAUCGACCCCUCCCUGGUGGAUCGAACAACCCAGAAAGCCCUACGAUUCAGCCUACGGGUUGAAAACCACUUUGAUAUUUAGGAUAGAAAAGAGGAUGUUUGUAAUGCUGCCCAUAAAACUAUAACAUCCCAAUUUUUAUAAUUAAAAAUAAAGAUAAGAAAAUUAUUCCGAGACGGGACUUUAAAUUUUGCAAGGAGUAAUUACUCCUUCAAUUCAAAUAUCAAUAAUCAUUUUAUAUCAAAAUAGAAAGAAACAUAUACAUACAUCAUAAAUUCUAAUUUCAGAAGCUGUUCCUCACAUGCAUUUAAAAUCAACAUGGAAACCAAGUCCCUAAUCACACAAUCUCACAGUCAUGUUAACUUUAGCUUGGCCACCAAAACACCAAAGAUCGAUCAUAUCUGGCGGGUGGCUCCAGGUCAGUCCUCAUAAAUCACAAUAGAGAUCACAAUCAUCAAUCACAUAAGCAAUAUGACUCAGACACUUUCCAUAUUUUAGUUGGGAUCCGUGGCUCACGUAUGCUGACGAUUCUCGGGCUUUCACAUAUCAUUGGUAGCACAAUCCAGGCCCAUUUCAUUUAUCAUUGGUGUCAUUAUUAAGGGCACAUUAUUCACACCCAUUCAGGCCUUAUACACGUAGCAGAAGUGCAAUAAGCACACACAUAGACCGCCAACAUACGGGGCCUAAUCUAGGUGAUCAAACAAUUCUCAUUAUUAUACCAUUAACAUAUACUUGUGACCGGGUAACAAUGAUCGAAUAGCAAAUCAUAUAAGACAUCAUACCAAUCAAGUAUAACACCACAUUCAUCAGAGCACAUGGUCGAUAAAUCAUGUACGAUUUGAUAUCAUCACGUUACCACUUGUCACAUAUUCAAUCCACUUGUUAUGCACAUCCAAAAGAAGCAUAGUUGACAUAAUCAAUCAUUAAAUCAAUUAUUCAAAGCGGAAUUCAUCCCCUCAAACCAACCCACCUUGGGUGAAUCGGUUGACUCGAAUUAUAGGUCCAAAGUCCAAGAAUCACUCCAUAAAGUAGCCGGGCUAAACUGUAAAGACUGAGAGGUAUCCGGGCCAUAGUUGUCCAUAUUUAAAAGUUACGGGUUAUGCGGAAGAUUACCAAACCUAUGAGGACUAAACUGGAAAAUAAACUUAGGAUACUAAAAUGGAAUUUUAUGAUCAUCUUCCUUAAGUUACAGAGACCACUUCGGGUGAAACACUCGUCAUUCCGACGAAUUUAAAUGGUCAUGAACUUGGUUUGAAAUCAGGAAAUAACGACAUGGGAAGCGUCAUAUACCCGUCACGAAUCUAACAAGAUGCGUUAGGAACCAUGGGCAUGUCUGGAUGUGCUCGACACAGAGCCACGUCGGACGGUUGAACGAAAAAGGUGAAAGAGAGGCGCAUAUUAGUCUUUGAAGCAAUUGAACGCACGUAUGGAUUAGGUGAGACAUCACUUACUUUUAGUUUGAAAAAACGGAAGGGAAACGAGUGGAGAAGCAAAGUUUGUUACUCGCCGCCGCAUCUUGCCGAAGCUACGAACGACGAGUGGAAACUUGCAGGUUUUGAUUCGUAUCUGCCCAAGGCAGUUUCGAUGAGUUUAAAUAGAUACAGAAGAAGGUCCAGGGAGUAAAGUAUGGCGUAAAUCGUGGAUUUGGUCCAUCCAUACUGCUGUUUGGUACCUUCGAAGAUAUCUGACAAGGGAGGGUCCAAAUAUGACGUUUAGAUAGAUUUUUGGUGCGCUCCGAUCUGUAAAGAUGAUGGGAGAUCGAUUAGUGGAGGUGACACCAAAGUUAAACGGUCCUAGAAGACGAGAAUAUAGCCAAAACUCUAAUUACGGAGGUGGAGAUCUCGUUGGGAAAACAGAGUCAGCUCGUCGGCGACUGGAGGCUGAAGAUGAUGCUGAUUCUGUUAAAUAAUGCCGUAUCACUCAAGAGGUAACAUUAAAAAUAAAAAGAAGGGGUUUUGAAUCAAACCCUGAUCCGCUAGGCUAUGAGGUAAGCCUUUUGACCACUAAGCCAACUUAGAUUUCAUGAUUCAAUUUAAAUAGGAAUCUUCAUAAACAUUAAACUCUAUUUUUAUACUAAUUAACCGAUCAGAUUUAUCUUUGACCAUUUAAACGACAUUCCUCAAUUUUACGAGUUUAACCAUUAUAUCUUUUUCCAACACAAUCAUCAUCAUACAUAUCUCAUGAACAACACUUCUCAGCAAAACCGUACUCAUGUAAAAGACUCUCCAAACAGUCCCAAUCAACUAGAUUGUAUGCUUUUUGCAUAUCUAGUUUAAGGCACAUGUCAUUGAGAUUACCUUGGUUUCUACUAUUAAAAUUGCGGAGAAACACAUUGAUUAGAAUAAUAUUGUCUUGGAUAGCUCUGCCACUAGUGAAGGCAGUUUGAGUCUCAGGGAUCAGAGAUGGAAUCCAUGGCUCUAGGCGGUUUUCCAGAAUCUUCUAUCGGUGGCCAAUCCAUGGCCAAACCGGCCGAAUCGGUUACCCACGGUUCGAUUCGACACAUGAAAAGAUGAAAUUGCCCUUGGAGGUCCGCGCGCAGAAGAAGGGAGACAAGGACAAAAACGUAACUUCACCCUAACCCUAAUCGGUUGUACAAAAGGGCCUCUUAAAUCGAAAAACCCUCCAUUGCAACCCCAACUCUCUCUCUCCCUUCCUCCUCCCUCUCUCAAAACAUUCUGACCUCUCUCUACACUCUCUCCUCCCCUCCUUUUCCUCCUCCUCUUCUUCCGCCCCCUUUUCCCGGUCGCGCCUCUCUCCUUUCUCCCCCCUUUUUUCUCUUUUCCUCUCCUUCUUCUCCUCCUCUUCUUCCGCCACAUUUUCUCCGGUGGCGGCGAUGGAAACGGUGGCGCCGCCGCUUUUCUAUCCUAUUCCUCUUCUUUUUCCCUCUUCCCUAUUCCGCUCCUCCUUCUUUCCCUUUUUCUUUCCUCUUGUUUCUUCUCUUCUUCUUCCUCCUCUUUUUUACCUCUCCCGCUGUUUCAAAAAUUAUGAUAGAUGGCUAUAGGUUUCUUUGUUAACAUAUUUUUCAGCAACCUCUUUUUGAUUUCACAGGUUUAAUUCACUUACUGGUUCGUUGUUUAUUAAAAUUAUUUGCUUAGUUGAAAUGAACAUUGGAUUCAAGUGUAGUUUAGAUGGUGACUAAGCGAUAUAUCAUAUCAAUGUGUAUGUAUAAAUGAUGGGUAAAUGAUUUCGAAUAGAGAUGUUUUCAAUGAUGUACCUUUAAUACAAAGCUUAUUUUUUGUCGUGUUUCAGGUGGCGACGCCCUUCGUGAGUGACGACAAAACUCCGUUGGUGGCUUCUACGUGGGUGGCGACAUAAGAUUUUGUACUCUUGCUUUUUAGUGUUGUGUAAAAUUUAUUUUUGGGACUUUGUGAGUGCUUGAUGUUUCUAUAUUGUUUUUAGGGGGUUUUGGAGAGAAUUGGCGGAAGUACUCUGAAAAAUGUAUUCUUCUUCUUCUUCUGACUUUUUUGUGGUCCUCGCUGUUAAUUUAAAUUUAAAAAUGGUUGCCACCUCCCCUUUAAACUAACCAAAAUUUUACAACAUAUUCUGACAUAAAAGGGAGGUGGCAGCUCCUUAAUUAAUAACAGUAACGAGCUUGAAAUCGGGCUUGAAAUCAAUCUGGGACGAAAUAUGCAUAAAGUCUCAAAAGUCCGUUAAUAGGUUUAGCUCACUCAAUUUCAAGAUACCGAUCUUGGGGUCCAUCCGUUUCGACCGUUCCAGUUUAGAACGACUUUAAAUUAUAAUUAGGUUAGAACAAUCAACAUUGUAAGAAGUACAAUUUGAAGAUAUACCAACUAAUUACCAUUAUUUCCGUAACAUGUAUUUUAGCCAAUUUAAGCUAGUAAAGACUUUGCAACAAGUAAAACCUCGAUGCUAAAUCCUUGAUAGAGACGCUAUGACUAUUUAGUGAAAUGAUACUGGCACAAAUUCUAUACCUGGACGAAAUUUGGUUACUACAAUAACGAUGAUGAAUACAACUACUCAUAAUGUGGAUAUAACAUUGAUAUAACCACCCUAUAAAAUGGACAUAUUAGAGACUUAACAUGCUCGUAUAAUCCACAUUAUGAUGACAUUUGUAAUUGAAACAGAAAAGACGUAUUACAGACUCGGAAAAUGGACAUAAUAGUGCCAUAAAAGCUUCAUAAAGUGGACACGUAACAACAACAGAAAUGGAGAUAAAAAUAGCAUAACAGGUUAUUAUAAUAAUCAUAACGACUGGAUAAUUGUUUUGAUGUAAUAUCAAAAUACUAAUUUCAAAAUUUUCUGUAAAGUUAAAAAAUAUCAAGAUUGAUUUUGUUGGACUCAAAAUUUUUAAAUAAAUAACUUUUUUGAAGUGAGAAUUAUAUAUAGAAUAUUUUAUAAAUAACUGUAGUGAUUUAAUUAAAAUUAGGGGCAAACAAAUAGGAUUGAUGUCUGGAAAUUUUUUUAGAUGAAUAUUUAUUAUUUUAUUCAUCUCUUUAAAAUAGCCCAAACCUCCCAAAUUAGCCCCUUUACAUAGUCUGUUUAUAGCAAAACAGAAAAAGACACAAAAGGAAGUCUAUCUAUGACUAUAUACAAAGCGGGUGUCCCGACAAAUAUCUCGAGCAAUAGUAAGGGGAGGGGAGGCUCUCUCCUUUACAUUACGUUUGCAUCAUUUGUACCAAAUAAAACUAAUCAUCGCCCUUCAUAAAAGGCGAAAUGAAGCAGCAGUUCCUAAGUUUCCAGGAUACAGAGUAGCUGCAGCAUCAAAAUCCUCCCACCAGCUAGAAACAACAAGGAUAGCAUAGCCAAAACAGAACUUUUGAAUAUGAGCAAUAUAGGUGCUGAUAUAGAAGAUAUGGCCGAGGUCAUCAAUCUCAUUCUCAUAGAAAAGACACGAUAUAUCAAUGCUUAACCCCCAAGAGGCCAUUUUAAUCCUUGUAGCUGCUAGGAUAGCUUGCCUUGUAAGAUGAAAAGAAGACCUUUGUCUUCUUAGGAUUAAGCUGGAGGCCAGCAAUUGUAUAAAAUUCCUGAAAAAUAUUGCAAAUACUAGUAACUCAUUUCUCAGUUCCAUUUGUAAGACUAAGAGGUAUCUGCCAAGCACAAUUGGGUGAUUUCCAAUUUUUUUACACUUAGGGUGAAAAGGGUUAUCCCCGCUCCGAGCUGCUCCUAAUAUAAAGCAAUGGAGAAGUUCCAUUGCUAUCACAAAUAAAGCUAGGGACAAAGGGUCUCCUUGUCUAAGCCCUUUCUUUCCUUCAAAAUAUCCAACUACUCCUCCAUUUAAUCCCAUGUUGUACAUAACUGAGGCCAAGCACCGUUUGAUCCAGCAAAUAAAUUGGCUCGAAAAAUUCAAAGCUUAGAGCAUGUUAAAGAGAUAUUAAAGAUGCACAAAGUCAAAAUCCUUCCUUAAAUCAACUUUAAAAGCAUAUCGAGGUGAGGUAUUUUUCAAGUGAUAGAUGUUGACAAAAUCAUGGGCAAACAAGAUAUUAUCACUAAUUAAUCACCCCUCACAAAAGCCUACUAAGAGUUGCUAAUAACUAAAGGCAAACAAUCCACAAGACGCCUAGCCAAUACCUUAACAAUGAUUUUAUAUAGCACAUUACAACAUGCUAUAAGCAGGUAGUCUCUAAUAUAAUAGGCAUUGAUCAUUUUUGGCAGCAGAGAAAGGAUGCUGGAAUUAACAACACGGGGGAGUUUACCUGUGCCAAGAAAAAAAUAGAUACAGCUUCCAAAAUAUCUUCCUUAACAAGUUCCCAGCUUGCUUGAAGAAGCAGGAUGAGAAACCAUCAGGAUCAGGGCUUUUGUCAGAGGGGAUGGAGAAAAGAGCUAAUUUGACUUCAUCAACAGUCACUGCAGCACAUAACAUGGUAAGCCUGGAAUCAGGAAGGGUUCUAACCAAACACUUCUGUAGGAAAUCAACACUAGGACAACUCACAUUUGCAUCCUCCACACCAGAAGGGAGGUAUAGUACUCAACUACAAUAUUAGCGAUAAAGGACAGAUCAUUCACCAAGCUUCCAGAUGAGUUCUCAAGAUGAAAAAUCUUGUUACGAGCUUGUUUCAUCUUAACUGUUUUAUGGAAGAAAGAGGUGUAGGAAUCACCUAGCUUAAGCCUGUUUUUCUUAGCUUUUUUACUAUAGAAACGUUUACCAGCAUCUUUAAAUUUCAUCUGAAGAGCAUGGCUAGUUUUAGCUUGCAAAAGAGCUUUAGUUGAGGGAUCAUUAAGGACAGUCAUUUGGUAAUCUUUCAUAGCUUUCUCAGUAUCAAGUACCUUUUUGCUUAGGUCAGAAAACACAGUAGAUUAAACUUCUUGAGCACUGCAUAAAUUUGCUCAAAACCUCUUCUAUGAGAAAGGGCAUCUGAUUGCUUCCAGGCCUGGUCAACUAGCUUUGUAUAACCAUCCCAUUCGGUCCAAUAAUUGAAGAAUUUAAAAAGCUUAGGAAGUGUACUUGACAUCACUUCACUAUCCAGUAGAAUCCCACAAUAAUUAGAUACCCCAGGUUCAAGUAAUUCCACCUUACUACAGCCAACAUUACUCUGUCAGAUAAAAUUAAGAAACAACGAUCUCUCCUUCUUGCAAUCGGGUCAUCAAUUCGAUUGUUAUGCUAGAUAAAGAAGGGGCCAUCAACUACAUGAUCUUCUAGCUCAUUACUUGCUGUCCAGGAAUUAAAAUCCUACAUUCCCUGGACAGCAUCAUCUCUGCAACCUAAAAAGAAUCCGCAGAAAACAUUGAAUGUCAUCGCAAAGACAAGCAAUCAAAACUGAAGCUGUGAGGGGAGUAUCAUUGUGAAGCCGACGGCAGUGCCCUCUGCAAAUCCCAGCAACCACAAAACACCAAAUUACAACAAUCAUCAUACCACAGGCUGAUUUCAAGUAAGAUAAGCGACAAGCAUCUGAAAAAGUAUUCGCCCAAGACGGGGAUAAACAGCAAAAGAACCUGUUCAGGAAAGCAUCAUAAAUCUCCAGUGGAAACGGGCAAUCAAAGAAAAAAUGGUUCUGACUUUCCAAAGCACCAACCAAACCAAAAGCAAACAAGCAGAAAAACCCGAAUACCAACGACUAGUGCUAUCUGAAGUGUUGGAGACACCCAAGAAUAGCUAGCCAAGAGAUGAAUCCAUGUCGAGGAGGGACGUGAGCUCCCCAGACCAAGCGAUGCAAGGGGACAAAUGGCCGAGCAAUUCGAAUGGAACUCCAAACAUCAACAACCCUUAGCUUUCCAACAGGAAAACCAUCUGAUAGAUGGUCAAUUCCACACUAAAGGAAUAAUGUAGAGCAAACAUGUCUUGACAUUUUAUAAUCCGCUUCCAAAUUGAAGAGUCCGUCCCACAUUAAUCUGCCAUAAAGUCUUUCUCUUAAUUCGAUAUGCAUGAAGCCAAGCGAUCCACAAAAACUUGUGGCCCAGCAUAAUGAUCCAAAAUAGACGGAGGACAUUGAACUGAUUCCUAACCUUCAAAUCCUAAAUACCCAACCUCCUUCUUUUUAAGUAUGAACUUAGAUUAAUUAUAAUUAUGAACUCGAGCUUGUUAAUUAGUUGAAGAAAAUUUAAAAACAGUAUGAAUGUUUUAAGUUCUUGAAAUGUGCAUUUUAUUUGAACUACGAGCCAAGUAAAACGAAGCUCAAGGAGAAUCUCUGUACAAUUCAUUCUGAUUCUGUGUUAUGACUUAUGACCCUACAAACUUAAUACAGCCUGCCAACCAAAACCAUAAGACUAUGGAUGAUAAAAAAUUUAUAAACAAAUUAACCAAAGCCUACCAUGCUAUAUCAGCUGCAUCAAAUCACCGAGUUCCCCCACCGUUAUUCUGAAAACUGUUGGACCCAGGUGAGCUCUGUUCACUCAACCAAGGAUCCCGUACUGACGCCGGCGAAUAAUUCUUGAGCGAUCUCUCCGCCGACUUCACACCAUUGGUUUGAUUCUGAAGUUCAGCUCUCUCAAUAUUCAAACUCAACGGCAUCUCGCUAUUAUUCGUCGAAGAAGACGACCGACAUUGUGAAACCUCCGACGACGACGACGGUCGCCCACCUUCUCCGCUGGUCACCAAAUUACAUGUCUCCCCCCAUUGCCCCGUCUUAAUUCCUUCUAGCUCCGCCGCAACCUCCAUCAUGCUCGGUCUCAACUCUCUCUCGAACGCCAAACACCUGAAGGCGAUCUCCGCCACUCUGUGGAUCGACACAAUCGUCCAACCGUCCGAAUUGAUCCCUUCCAAAUUAGGAUCCACAAUCUCGUCCAAUCUCCCCUUCCCGAUCCGAUCCGCGGCCAUGUUCGCCAAAUUGACCUCACUGGGCAUCCUCGAGAAAUCCACAGCUUUCCUCCCAGUUAUGAUCUCCACAAGAACAACUCCAAAACUGUAGACAUCGCUCUUGUCCGAAAGGUGAUAAUUCUGAUGAUACUGCGGAUCAAGGUAUCCAGGAGUUCCUUGUGGAGCGGUAGAAAUGUGUGAGAUUUCGGGCAUCCCCAACCGUGAAAGUCCGAAAUCAGCUAGUUUAGACUUGUAGUUGAAGUCCAGCAAUAUAUUGCUGGACUUGAUGUCCCUGUGGAAGAUCGGAGGGUCGAUUGCCGAGUGGAGAUGAGCUACAGCAUGAGCAGUCUCGAGAACAAUGGCGAGGCGGAUGGGCCAUGUCAGCCCGAGGCCUCGCUCGCCGUGUAAAUGCUGGCUGAGGGUGCCAUUGGGCAUGAACUCGUAGACUAGGAUUUGCUCGCCUCGUUCGAUGGAGCAACCCAAUAGGCGGACUAGAUUGGGGUGGCGGACUGAGGAAAUGAGCUUGAUCUCGUUAAUGACUUGGUCGAUGCUUUCGGUGUCUCUGUUUUUGAUGCGUUUGAUGGCAACCAAGGAAUUGGUAUGGAGCUUCCCCGAAUAGACGGUACCGUAUGCCCCUGUGCCGAGUCUCUGUGUGUCGGAGAAGCCGUUAGUGGCUCUGGCGAUUUCUUUGUAAGGGUAGAUAGUGAUGUCGAUUCCCUUCGCUUCCUCUAGGCGGCGCUUUGUUGAGCUUUCGGCGUUUGAGAAUUGUGAUCUCCUUCGGAUGAAGCAGCAGGCUAGGCUGAGGAGGAGGACUAUAGCUGUUCCCAGGCCCAAUCCUAGGUUGAAAAUAAACGGUGAUGGUCAGUAGUAUUGUAACAUCUGGAAAACGAAAGAAAGUUAUAUAAGCAUGGUAUUAUGAGUACCUCCAGUUAGAAUGGCGAUCCCAAUAGGUCUGCAAUAGUGUAGAAAGUAUUCGGAAGACCCGCAUGUAUCUGCAGUGAUAUACUACUCAUAGUCAUCAAUCCUUGUAUAUGUGUGUUCCAGGUUGAGUAAAAUAACAUCAUAGAGGAUGAUUAUAUUUCAAAUAUAAAAUGAUUGGUGCAAAAUCAGAACCGAAAUGGUAAAAAGACCUAAGAAUCGGUUUUCAAUUUUGUUUUGUUCAAUGUGGACAGCCCAGCGGAGCGUGACGGAGAAGAAAAUUGGGUUUAUCCGCAGCCUCAAUCAUACACAUAACGGGGCCCACUUAUCUCUUCCCCCACAUGUCUUCAGGCUCACUCUAUCGAGAUAUGCAUCCCAUUAUUACAAUACAAGAAGUAGCUCAUUAGUUUUUACUAUCAUUCCGCCCAUUCUAUUACUAAUUUACUGUUACUGUCUCUUUCUCUUUUGUUCUUCUGUAUUUGUUUUUACUUUUUCCCUGUAAUUGCAUUUUAAUUUUAAAGCAUAGCCGCCAAACCCUACACACUCCAAUUCUACACAUUGUCUAAGCAGAUUAAGGAGGGUUCAAAAUCUUAAAUUAUUCUCUCCAUUGCAGGCCAUCAUCCUAACACUCUCUAUGUCUGUUUGUAAACCUUCAAAUCUUUACUGGCCGGAUCUGCUACUAUUUUAUUCUUUCUAAUGACAUCACACUCUCUUUCCAUUCCUCCACUUCAAUGAUUCAUACUUGAAUUCAGUUAAUAAUUUUAGUUACAUUUUAUUUAAUUAAAAUUUUCAAAACAUUAUGUUUUAUGUCUUAGUUUAUGUAUUAGUUGAAUGAUUGCCAACAACUCUAAGAGGAGUUGCUCUAGUGAUAGAGUCGCGUAUUGACGAUCCUGAGGUUUUGGAUUACCCUAUGAAAUAGAAACCAUUGUAUUAUUUAUGAAUUCUUUCUUGCGCUGAACGAGAGGUCUUUAAUACACCCUACGAAAUGAAAACCCUUGUAUUAUUAUGAAUGCACUGAACGAGAGGUCUCUAACCGAUUAAAAAAAUUGAUUAUUUACAAUUACUAACAGAUUAAGCUCGAUCACAUUUGACUUUGAACAUCUUAAAAUCUAAAAACAUCUAUCAUGUCAUCCCAUAAAUUAGCAACUUUAGCAAUAAACUCAUUAAACAACAACUUCUAACUACACUCAUUCCAAUAAUUUUGUAACCGUUUUUAUUCAACAUUUAUGUUUUCUUAUAAAAAAUUAAUGAAAAAACACAAUAAAACUGAAAGUAGAUUGGUUUAAAUUUUCAGGGAUGGUAUACUGAAUAAUUCAAGAGAUUUUCAUAACCAAACUGUGAUUCAAUGAUCCUGUUCACUAUUUCGCUAAUUAAUUAACUUCAAACAUAUACGAUUUAAAAUGAUGAUGAUUAUACACUAAUUAAUACUGUGGAUCCUAACAUUAGUUAGAUGGCCAUGAUUUGAGUAUAAUUAAUAUUAAAGAAGCAUGAUCGAAAAUUGGUAAUUGCGUAUACUCAACUCCACCCAAUAGCUAGGGCCAAUAACGACAAUUACGCUGGUCGCCAAAGUCUAACAAGUAACAAACAAAAAAUGAAACAAAUCCAAAGAAGAAUAAAAUGGCAACUUAAUAAUUGCAAAGAUGCUGACCUUUGAGACACCCGACGCCAUCCCGGUAACCGUCGCCGAUGAACCCUUUCCUGCAGCUACACCGAUGCCCUCCACGCCGCCUCCCAACAGUAUUAAUAACAUGGCAAUCCGCAUCUGCAGAGCACGACCAGCAAUCCCCACCGUCCAUCCACCACUCAAGCUCCAUCAUCUGCACCGCGAGCGAGACGCCGGAAUUACGGUCGCCGGGGAAAGAGUACAGCACCGAGAUUGACGACAUGAGGUAAUCGCAGUGGGUAAGACGCGUCAUGUUGGCAUAAUCAAACAGCCCGUUCCACGUCAUCAUGUCGGAGAAGCAGCUGAGGCUUCCGUUGUCGGCGGCGGUUCCGACUCUGGAGGAGCAGUUAACCGGCUCGAAAUGAGUCUGGACGUCGAUGGUCGGGAUGUUGCAGGUGGCCAGUUUGGUGCAGUUGUGGAGGAGGAUUGCGUUGGUGGACUUGGGUGCGUAGUUUUGAGCGAAGAGGGAUUCGAGAACGGAGAUCGGACGGUCGCAAGAAGGCUGGAUGUUCAUUUGGAUGGUUGAGUUGCCCACGGCAGAUACCCUGAAUUCUCCGAUCGACAUAUAGCCAUCAGGGGAGCAGGUUAGGUUGACGUAGCAACCGGGGGAGAACCCGAACGGGUAACUCACGUCUUUCCCACCGCACGUGCGAUUGCAGGCGGCGGCUGAUCGUGGAUGAGAGAGGGCGGCGGCAGCGGCAGAGGCCGAAGUGAAAGAAUUGAAAAAUGCAAUUAUUGAUAAGAAUAGAAAUGAUGAGUAGCUUAUGAACAACAUGGCGUAACAUAUGGGAGGGUAAUGAAUUGAGUUGUUGUUGUUGUCUUUGAGAAUUUUAUUUCUAGGGUGAAGGUGAAGACUCCAUUGAUGAAGUGGUGGACUGGAUGGGAAAGAAAAGGAAAGGAGGAAGGAAGGGGAAAUGAUUCAAUGGAAGUACAAUUAGGGUAACAGUGUGGGAAAAGGAAGCGAGAAUUUUGGUUUAAUUAUUAUAAUAAUUUGGCUGAUUUCCCAUUAAUUCUGAUGCCCACCUCGUCGUGUUGUCUUGUUGCAAGUCCAACACUUUGACUUGACCAUUUCAAUUGAACAACAGAGGCUGCUGGCUUUACUUUUGUACUUGUCGAUUCGGGAAACAUGGGUUUCAGGAAUCUGAGUCGGGAAUGCCUUCGCUUGCUGGAUGGACUAUUUUACGUAGAGCUCCAUUAUUCCUUUUUCCGAAUUUUACUACAUUAUUGACAUGGGCUGAUGGGCUGAUAACUCUUGGAGUUCAAACUCUAACCACCUAGAAAUAUUACAUCAUACUUCAUCACGGGCCUAAAUUUGUCGUCAAUUUAGUCACCAACCAGUUGGGGACGUGACCCAGAUCCCCAAUUCCCCAUAAGUACAAGACGCACCUUGUGGUUCGAACCAUACCCCGAGUAGCACCGCUACAGUAUCAAUGUGCACCGCACCGCUUUGCAAUUUCAAUGCAGUUUAACCUGCGCUAAACUGCAAAACAACUAAAUUAAAUCAAAAAUCAAUAUUAAACAUCACUUAGUCCUACAUUUAGUAUUUGAUAUGUUGUAGCCUUUACAUCUAACUAGGAAAUAGAAAACCUGCUAUGACAACAAGUCUUUUUGUUGUUAUAUAACAACAUUAUUAUUCACCAUUAUAUUAAAUAUCAUAUCUAAAAUAAAAAUGAAAAAUAUAUAAAAUUAUAAUCUAACUAAGAUUUUUUAUUGUAUACACAACCGCCGCCGUAUUCAUCACCCCUUCAACCCACGCCGGCUUCCCUUCAUCCCACCAAAUUUCUAAGUCUCUGAAGCUCCUCAUAAUCAUGAACACAAAAAAAUGUAUUCCUUCCCUCAUGCAUGAAGCGAUCUACCGUACUCUUCACCAGAGUCAUUUUGCUUUUCUCUUCUUCUGAAAGCCACGAGAUGUCGGAGUCUGCUUGGUCCAUGAAUUCCACGAGGAGUUGUAGAACUCGCUCUCUUCGCCACUCUUCAUGUCGGACUCCAUAAAGCCUAUUGUCACCACAUCGAAGGAUCCCGCCUCGCAACCGAAAGUCGUGAUCGAAUUGAUUUUUGGCCAAUGAGAUGGUCAGAUCUGAAGGCUGGGAAGCCGACGAAGGAAGGAGUGGUGCGGUUGCCUUGGUUGUUGGCUAUGACUUCUAUGUAGCUAAUAGAUAUAUUUAGUACCUCGAAUCGAACACAAGUAUCCCAAGCACAAUAUGUCUAUAAUUUCGUGGAUCUGAAGCUCCUACAUGAGAUCGAGGCGCUAGUGAACCUUUACAACUUUGCUUUCUCUGAUGAAAAAGAUUCGAAUGGAGUACCAAAAGAAAUAGUACUUUGAAUCUGACAAAGUACCUACUUUGUUCAUGUCCAACACUUAUUAGGAAUUGCAGGUACAAAUUGUUUUGUUUUCUAAUUAAUUUCUCUCAAGGCUUUUUUGUGUGAGUGAUUAUGAUUCAGUACCUUGGAUCCGUUGGAGGUAUCGAUUUUCAUUGAUGUCAGUACCAUUAUGAAUCAUAGGUACAGGUAAAUACUACUAUUUUCUCUUGAUGAUGUACCUAUGAGUGAUUCGAGGUACUGAUUUUAUGUGUAUUAUGAAUUUACAAGUACAGAUUUUGAUGCGAUGGUAUCGAGUUAUGUUUCAUAUCUUGAAGUUUCAAAGAGAAAGAGAUUCAGAAAAGUGUUAAUAAAAAUAAAUGCAAUAUUGUUAUAACUUAAUUUAAGUAGUAAANNNNNNNNNNNNNNNNNGUCAAAAGUGAUUUGAAAUAGACAAUGAUUUAAAAUAGUUAGAGAUUAGAAAUAGCUAGUGAUUUCGUAAAUAUUUUGUUUAUUUAGUGAAAUUUUGGAAAUAUAAAGAGAAAUUUUGAUUCAUGAAAAAUAAUUGUUUAAUUAAAUUAUUUGACAAAUGACUAACAGACUUCUAAAAUUAUCUCAUUCUCAUACAUUCAAGUAUUUAACAAGCUAUUUUGGUAAAAAAGCGGGUCUACUUAUGAUCAUCAAAAUAACAGUGAAGUUAUCUCGACAACGCAAGUGUCGUAUGUAUCAAAGGUUCCUCUCGUUGUGCUUCUACUAAAACUUAUCUACAUGGUUUAGACUAAACAAAUUGAUUUUGGUUUCCAAUUAUACUACUAAUUUAACUAAUAGUAGUAAUUAAAACUAAGAACUAGGUUUGAAAUGAAGGAGAAAAUAAGUUCUUGGAAGGGAUGUUUGAUCAAGCUCAACUUCCUAUCAGUGUUCGGUUCGGACUAACGUUGCACUAGGAUUGAAUAUUAUAACUCCUCUUAUCACUCGUAGGAAUCUGCGGCACGAUCAUGCACGCGGAUUACCACUACUCACUUCCUAAUAAAGGUUACAAAAAUCUCAACUAGGCUAACUAGUAAUGAACGUCGAUAAGGUAUACAAAGUGAUAAGGUGCUCUCUUUGAAUUAAAGGAAAUCACAAGCAAUUAGAAAUAGUGUUAACUUUUUCCAUCAACGCCUAAGCUACUGAUAACUAUACCUAACUUGGUCCAUUAGGUGCAAACCAGAGCGCAAGCCAAUUACUCGAUGAAAAACCGUUAAAACCAAAAGAAACACAAAAGAUAAAAUCAAGUUAUUGGCUUGGUCCAUCGAUAAAUUUCUUCUAUCUUAGAUUGUUAAUCUUAUGAAUUCCAAAAUUCGAUCAAACAAAGGAUUUCAUAGAUUUGACCUAAUUCAAGUCGUAACAAGAACAAGGUUGAAAAACAACAAUCAAAUCAGUCUUUUAUCAAAUCCAAAUAUACAACAAUCGCCGACCCUAUACUUUUAGGGAGAGUAUCAUAGCUUAAUUCUUACAUCCCAAUCAAAAACUCUAAAGAUUUAGCUACUCAUGUUUAUAGGAAGAAAAGACAGAAAAAGCCUAACCAUAAUUUUGUUGAAAAGAUAAUGAAUUAGACUCACUAUAAUAUUUGCUUUUGGCCUUCUAGCUUGAAUCAUAGCUUCGAUAUUCAAUGGCACUUCUUUCGGAUCUUCAAUCGGAAUUCUAUGGAUGAAGGUAUGAUGGUUUUUCAGAGAAAAUCGGGGAAAAUCACAGGAAUUCGUUGAUGAAAAAUGCUGAAUCUCUUUUCUUAAAUCGCUCCUUUUAUAUGAAAACUGCUGGAUUGGGAGUUGCACGGUGUGCAUGGGUGCACGUCAUGCAUAACUUUUUCCGCCGUGAGUUAAUUCAAGUUUAGGGCAUACGCGCUUUUUCCACCGUGAGCUAUUUGCAAUUUUUUGCAUGCACGUCGUGCAUCCCUUCUUUUUCCCUAACCCUUACAUCAUCAUUCCAUUCAAGCUUUAACAUGUGCUCUAAUCCGCGUCCUUAGCCUCAUAAUCAGACCACAUGUCUCUAAAGUACCAUUGGAUAAACAAUACUACAAAGAAACACAUCAAAUGAACCGAAUCGGUCCAAAUGAACAGGUCUAGGCAUUAAAUGCCAAGAUGCAAAAUCACAUGGAAUUUAAACGCAAAUGAGCUAGCAAUCACUCAAAAAGCGUGCAGAUAGGGUGAGAUAAAUGCUACAAAUCCUAACACUAUCAACAUGGGGAUAAAGGAGCCAAAUGCCGAUUCCAGUAUGAACGGCUCGAACGCUUCUACUGCAUCUGUAGAGUGAUGGGGCACACCGAUAAAUAUCGCGACAUACUUUUCUAGGUCCGAGCUGCUUCAAUAAUUUGUAAGUGGGAUUUUAAUUAAAAAUAAUAAUUCGUAAGUAGGAUGAUUCUAUUAGGGUGCAACCCCAGAACUCAAACCAGAUACGUGCUACAACGUAUUUGAAGGAGAAGAACACCCCCCCCCAUCAAACCGAUAAACAUACCAAAUCCAUCCAACAAGGUCCUCCUGUCCCAAAUUAGCAAUGACCGCAAAAUGAUGGCAUGAAAAGGGACAGGACAGAGUUGAAAUGUUACACCCGAUCCUAGUGAUAAAAUUUGACUUAGGAAAUCCUUAAAGUACCCUUUAGAAAGUCGGUAGAAAUAACUUUCUAUUAUAUAAUAGUGUUAAUAUUAAUAUUAUACUAUGAGUGUUAUUAGCAUUAUUAUUAUUUCACGAUUAGUUACAAGCUUGUUUCAAUAAUAACCAUGGUAAAUUAGAAACUAUUUAAACCCCUAUAAGUUGAUUUAAUAAGACUGGUCAGCUGUGAAACCCGGCCCUAGACGACCUGAUCGAACCACACGGUUCGACCCAUGCAACGCUCGCGGGUUCACUUAACACAUAAACAUAAUAACUAACAUAUAAUAACUGGAUUGAAAACCUCCUCAACACAUAAUUAAAACGACAUCGGAAAUAAACAGAGCAUCCAAGGUUCGAAAUCCGCAACUAAACUUCACUAAAAAACAUCCCAAACAGAGGAUACAACAACCGGAAAUAAGUCUGUCAAAACAACUGGAAACAUGGAAAAUUGUCAGAAAAUGCAAAAACAAUGAAAGGGAUAACCGAGGUCCUCCAAUGAAAGGGAUAACUGAGUCACUCUUAUGUGGCGUCGCUGCUCAUGCUCCCCUCUUACGCGGCACUGGCUCCUGAAGUCCCAAGGUUGGUCAUACAUGAAGAAACAAGACGGAGGUUUGCGAUUAGCACUGGAUAACUAAGCCUGAUCGUGAAGAACUGAACUAGUAUCUAGUAAUGUGACCCUGUGAUCCUGUAGGCAUCAUCCUAAUGUCAGCCACCCCUAGCUAUGAGCGGACAACCUCAUGGUGGAUCAGACCAUGAAACCACCCUCAAAACCAUAAGAACAACACUGAAGGUUAACUUAUCACAUCCAGUCUGAACCUGAAUCAAUCCGAGGGAUUGUGCAAUCCAAAGGGUGGGCGACCAACGUAUAUCGAGAGCUAAUCUAUCUAGUCUUGAUUCUUAUCCUUAAACAUGAACUGUGAAUCACACACAGUUCAUCACUGUGAGUUUAUCCUUGAAAAUAACAACUGUCUGUGCAGUAGAUCACAUACUACUACACAUCCUAAAAUACUCAUCUGCAAUCACAACCAACUGUACAGUAGAUUCCAUACUAAUGUACAGUUCUGAAAAUCCAAGCAAGGAUUCCUGACAACUAAUUACAAGUCUUCGCAUAAAUCAGAAAUAUAAUCUUAACCCUUAUCUCUGAAUAGCUUUCCUCGAAGAGUCUGAUCCGAUGCCCUUGCUCCUAGAGCUCGAUUGCCUGAUCCGGAUGACCUAAAGAGAUCAAUUGUAGGAUUGAUAUCCCAAAAACCCAAAUUCCCAACCUGUUAUGAUUUUCCUACGUAGGAUUCAACAAGGAUUGAGAAAGGAGGAAGAAGAUAGAUUACCUUUUGUAGUUUCCUCAACGAUCUCUAAGCCCCUACUACCGGUCUAGGAUUAAUCAACAAGAUCCUCUCCUCUGCCUGAGACUAAUUUGUAAUCGUCAAAUAUAUUGGAAUUAGGUUUAUGAAAUUGUGAGUUAUGGAAAUCAAGACUUUGUUUAUAUAAAAUUUCCACCAUAUCAGUGGUGGCAUGACUACCACGCCCGUGGGUCACUGACGGUCACGCCCGGGAUUCACCUACUAGCCACGAUUGUGACUGCACUAACCACGAUUGUGACUGCACUAACCACGACUGUGAUCUUCCAGACGACCACGCCCAUGACAGACAGUUCACCAUGCUCAUGAUGGUCUUCCUGCCACAAAUUUUGCCGAGAACACAAAAAACCAAACCAAGGCCCAAAGUCAACUAUUAACCAAAAAUCGGGGUGUGACAUCAGCUACCCAAUCAAAAUUGAAUCAUGAAAUGAGUUGUAGCCUGGUGGAUAAGUAACUAGAACAAUAGAGUAGAGGUCAUGUGUUUGACCCGCAGCUCCAGCUUCCUUUUUCUUUUCUUGUCAUUCUUCAUCAUUAAGCCAAAUGACCUCGUUUUAGUGAGUUCACUGAAAGUGUAAAGAUGAUGACAUAGCCGACAUGCAAGCAGGCUUCACCAAUCAUUCAUUGACACAUCGUCUUGAACGAUGACGUUGUCGCUGACGUGGGCACUUCGUUCCUCAAAUCUCUAGUCCAGCUCAACAGCGAGCUCCAAAUUCUCCGUUGAAAAUCUCCACCCUCCAUUCAAGUGAUCUACCUCUAUUUAAUCCUCAAUUUCCUAAUCGACUCACUAAUACCUCCCUGCAUCCAAAGAUCGAGUUUCGAUCUUCAAAAGAGAAAAGACAUCCAUCUCCCCGACUCUGUUUUUGAUGAACCACGACGGCAAGUCAUCUCUCGGUUAGAUUGAUUUUGAGGUAAGGGAUCGAUUAGUAGGGUAAGAAACUAUUUUCCUUCCUAAGAAACAUAUUAAAGCUUCAAUCGUUUCGAUCUAGGUUUCAUGUUCAUCUUCUCUGUCAAGCUGUGAUUUUGGAGACUGCAGACCAGAAGAUACCAGACCAUCCUUAGCAUCAAACGAAGGUUAGGAAGUGUUUCAAUUAAUUAGUUUCAAUUUCGGUAGAGUUUCCUUGUGUAUUAAGCCUUCACUAGAGCUGGGUUCACCCUUGCCAGAUUCUGGGUUCAUCUCUAGAAUUUGUGGGAGAAGAUAAUUGGAUAAUGUCUGUGACGACACUUAGAUUUGUCAUUAUUUGCGUUUCAGCCAUUGAACUUUCAGAAAUUAGAAUCAGUACCUCAUCUCUUAGCAAAUUGCCUGACGUAAAAAACUAUUAAUAUCUGCCAGUUUAGUAAUCAACUUUUUCCUUGUAGUUUCCGCAACUUGGAACUUUCUGGUAAUGACAGUUUGCACCCAAAAUGGUUGUAGAAGUUCUUUAAGUCCUAAAAUUAGCCCUAAUCGGUCCUAAGAUGCUAGUAAAUUAAUCCGAAGAUAGUAACAUGACCCCUAUAUCCAUAAAUUGUUAAGUAACAGUAAUUCCUUAAGAUUAGUAAUUAUAAAUAGGAUGUACUUAAGAUUAUAACCCUUAAUCCUAAUAAGUAAUUAAAAUAGAUAUUCUUCUUCAAUCUUUCUUCCUAUCUCGAAAAUUAGCACUAAUAGAACUCUUCAUGUACUUAGUUAAUCUCUUUAACUCAAAUCUUUUUAAUUCAUCCCUUCCGUCAAAUCACAUUAAUUGUGAAGAUAAUCCUUCGAUUUUCGUCGAGCCGUCCCCAUAAUAUUUCAACACGUGUUGGAGUUUAGUCUAAUGUCUAAAUCCUCGUCUUCGGGUCAUCAAAGACAAACCGAAUUUUCAGCUUAGAUUGCAAUCCCUUGUGUUGGAACCUCUCUGCCUCUUUAUAAGGUGAGUUCCUUUAAGGGGGUAAAUUUUUUUCCUUGCUAUAGUGAGGGUAUGCAUGUUUCAUGUUAUGUUUAAUUAUGCAAUUUAAUUCAUUUAUGUUCAUGUCAUUUACUUUAUUCUUAUGAUGCUCAUAUGUGCCUUAUGUUAAACUAGCUAGAAGAUGAUAUGAUUAGCUAGUUGGAAAACAAGAAAUAACUAUCCCAAGCCUAGACCAUUAGUAGACAAUCUAGUAGUGAAAUGAUAUAGUAGUACGUAACUCUCAAGCUAGACUCCCGAUCCAGAUAGUUGGCCUAUGACCUUGGGCCACUAGAGAUCCAAGACUUAGUUACUCGGACCACUAGAGUCCCGUUAUUAGUUAUUGGGCCACUAGAGUCCCAUUAUUAGCUAUUGGGCCACUAGAGUGCCGUUUUUAGCCAUUGGGCCAAUAGAGGCCUCUAUGAUAGUACUGGCCAUUAGAGACCCAUAAUGUUAUCUUAAGUCCGAAAAAAUGUGCGGUAAGGCUAGUUAGUGAAAAGAGGGGAUGUCAUACAAGAAUUAAGAACCCUUGAAUAAAAGUCAAGGCUAGUACAAGAAUAUAAGGUGCAUAGUUUGACAUUCCCGAUGAUACUAUUUUUUACAUGAUUAACAUGAUACAUUACUUCAUAAUGUACUAAACUAGCAAGAUGAUGAUUUGACCAUGAGAGACUAACCCCGAGCCAUCCACAAGUCAUAUUAGAGAUACCAGAACGGAGACGACUUGCAAGAGCUGCAGCUGCUGCCAAUAUCUUUGGAGUUUAGACUUGUGACUUUGUUAAUGAUUUUAUGUCGGACUUGAUUUCAUGAUUUGGUUUGCCCACAUGUUUAGGGCUAUUUAUUUUGAAAUAAUGUUUGAACAAUUUAUUUAUGUUGACUUUGACUUUUAUCCUUUUUAUCGAGUCCUUGUCCGCCUCGAUGCAAUUUGGUCAUUUAAUAAAUGUUAGAAGUUUAGAGUGUUUCAUGAAACACCGGUGCUUGACGUCAACAAGAUGCCGAUUGAAUUACCAAGGGUAGAUACCCUCGUAAAUGUAUGAGUGGUCCAGGCGAAUAGUCCCGUAAAGGGGGUUGUGGAGAUCCAUCGCCUCUGACGAUACGAACCCCUAUCUACCGUUCCGGUGUUAGCUCGUUGCCUUUGAUUUCUUUCUUUCCUUCGGGUGUGUCGUACUUGUCAAGUGUUUUGUUUAUUUCUUGAAUGUUGUCAUUUGGCAAUAGAGUUAGGUAUUUUCUUUACAAAUUAGUUAUUUUCUUUACAAGUGAGGUACGAUCAAAUUAUCUGAGUCCAUGAAAUCACUCAUCAAAUCCCCUACUAAAUCACCUAGUAUGUCAUACGGACUAUGUUAGAUUAGAGGGAAACCUUGACAACG